UUAACAAAAGUAAGAGUAACAAAUCGUAUGACUUUGUAGUCAUCAGUUUUAGAAUCAAACCCAAAAGAAGCGUGGUCAAAAGAAACGUCAUCUAAAGUAAGGUAGGUUUCUUCGAAUGGUGAAAAAUAUGGAGGGCGUUGGAUUGAAGAUGGUGGAAGGAUUUUAAACUCUCUGGUUGAUGGGUUCCAAAUGGCAGCCUUAUCCUUUGAAGGAUCAAGUAAACACAACAAUCCAUGACAAGCACCAUAAACAGCCUUGUCCAACCCCAUCGUCGCCUUCCCUCUCACUUCUCACUGUCCCAACCCCCACCACUGCUCACUUCCCUCUCACUCCUCACCGUUUAUCUCAUUGGCAUCUCUUCUAACAUUUGUGGUGAGAUCAACAGUGAAGAGUGAGAGGGAAGGCAGCGACGACAGGGGUUGGAUACAAUGGCAACAGUAGCUAGAGGGGAAAAUAGAAAGAGGAGAAGAAAUAAAUUGAAAUAAAAUGAAAAAAAAAUAUGUUAAACAAUUUUGUUUAUAGAAGACUUCAUCUAUGAACUCGUGCUUAUGUGGCACGCCACAUAGGCUACUUUGUUGACCUGUGGUUUGACCGACGAUCAACUCACAUUUUUCGUUAAAAUUGGGUUGAUUUAUUAAAAAAUCAUACCAUUAAGGGUGUCAAUCAAAAAAAAAAAAGGUUAAUGGCUCAAACCCAAAAACUCAAAAAAAUUGAAGGUUUUUUUCAAAAAUUAUGCCAAAUUCUUUGUUAAAUUUUUUGGUUUGAUAUUCUUUGUUAAAUUUGUUAGUUUGAUAUUCUUUCAAAAGUACAUUAUAAUGCUUUUUUUUUUUUUUUUGUUAACCCAAGCCCAAACUUUUGAAAGCAAAUACUAUUUUGAGAGGGAAAAGAUUUGAUUUUUUUUUUGUUCAAUUGCUUGAAUCUGGUUGGAUAGUUUCUAUUUUCAUUUUAUUAACCAUUUAAAGAAAGAUAUUGAAUGUUAUGGGAUUAGGUUUAGGUUAUUUUAAAUCUAUAUUCGAAUUAGUGUUAUUUUAAAAUCGAAUCAUUUUGAGUUUAAAUCAUUCAAAUUUGUUAAUCGAAUUUUAAAGAUAAAAGAACAUAUUAAAAAUAUGUAAUAUUAAUUGGAUUAUUUUAAACCAUGACCUAAAUACUUGAGUCUCAAAGUAAGCCCUAGCUCAAUAAAACACAUAUGAUAGUUUAGAGUACCGUAAUAAAAUACAUAUUGAUAAUCAAGAUAUUACAUUAACAUUUGUAAACAUAUAUGAGACAAUUGUGGCAAAGCUAGCUAUGGAAAUUCUAUGGUAUCGGAUCCACUAUUGCACCGGCCGUAAAAUAAGUUGGAACAAUUUUGAGGCCUUCCAAAGAUAUAGGAUGGCCUUGGUCUUCCAUAACAAAUAAAAAACUCCCCGAGUAGUAGAACAUUAGUUCUUUUGUGUUUACUGCAUGAAAUUUGUGGAGAUGCUCCUAUAAAUCGGAAAACUGUAUCCGCAACUUACCGGACCGUAUAGGUGGAUCCAAGUGUGAGUCCCAUAGCUAAAUCCCAAAAUUCAUUAAAACAAAUAAGAGACAAUAAAGUAUAUUAAACACAAAUAGGAAUGUGAAGGGAAAAUAAAAAUAAAUUAUUUGAUAUACCUGAAUUUAAAUUUGUCCUAAGCUGUAUGGCCGAUUGGAAGUAUGACAGAGGAUGUUGUGCAAAGUCGGAACAUGUGCCAUGUUUAAUCCAUUCCUUGAACCAAAACUCAAAGUCUGACCCUGUCAAUACCAAGUCCGGCCAUAGUGUGGGCAGUUGGUUCCAAAGAGCUAUAUCACCACUCAACAAUUGCUUUUAAAUAAGAAACAAAAAAAUUGAUUAGAUUACAGAUAAAUUACUUAAUAGUUUCAAGCAAAGAAUGUACGUAUGCGUACUUGGAGUGGUGGCCGGGUUAGAAUAGGUUGUGGAUAGGUGCAAGGCUUCCUUGCAUUGUACGGGGGCACCGGCAUGUCAUGAGCGUCUUGCGCCCAAAUUCCAUGUAUUUUGAAUUCAGUUGGGAUUGGGAGUUUACAGUUGAGAGUAGAGCUGCAAACUGAGGGAGGCCAUUGAAAUGCCAGCUUAUAGAAGUCUACCACUGGAAUUACUGGCGGCUGGGGUACUGCAAAUGCUACCCAUAAUGCAAAAUGAUACAAUGCAUUUUUACAAAUUUACAAAUCAAAAGAGAACUACUCCAUAUAUAGAUAUUACAUGUAUAGAUGGUCGGGCUGAGAUUGGAUGAUUGUGCAUUGCAAGCAGCUGGUUUAUGAUCUCCUUUAUAAGCUUGGCACACAAAUUUCACGAAAUUUUCAAAGUCCUGCAACCAUGAAAUAAAAUAUUGAAGUUACUUGUCACAAAAUGUUACUUUACAGUCACACCAAGAGGGAGAAAUAAACAAACUCACUUGUCCGAGUGGCUGAUUAUUCACCACCACCCAUGGCACAUAUUCUUGAGGUGGCUUCAGAUGUGCAGUCUCGUUAGCAUAUUGCAGCAGAAGCUGCAUUUUAUUAAUUUGGAAAUUCAAUGUUAAUUAAAUACUAUGACAUGCAGCCAACCUUAUAUCCAAAUCCAGUAGUAUAGCAUUAAUUUGUUGAUUAUCUCCUCAUUCAAUCUCAGCUUUUCACUGCAAUUUUUCCACAGUGCUUCAACUGGCCCCGUUUUAAUCUUUGUUGCUCUGUGCUGCGAAUGAAUUCCUCAGUAGAGUAAUUAAACACGAGUUGGGGACAAGUACAAAUACUUUUGGCUAACAGAGUUUACCACAUAUGACGCAUAUUGUUAUCAUCCCUAAAAAACAACUAUACACCACCUUAAAAAAUGAUUUGCCUGAAGAUUGCAAAGAUAAUAAAAUUGUUUAUUUAUUUAUAUAUGUACGAAGGUCGCAGUUUACAGGCCCUCAGAUGAAAAGGAUUUAAAUUAAUCCCAAAGUUUUAAUGUACAAAAGAAAACAUGUGCAAAAGUAUCAAAGUUAAUGCCUAAGAAGUUGAUUUCAUGCAUGGUAAAUUAUUAAGAUAUAAAAUUGGACAUUAUUUAUAUAUAUAAAAGCCUUCCAUUGAAUGCCUAAAAAGCUCUUUGGUUUUUCAUGAAGUUAGAAACUGACUUGAGAAAUUCAUGGUUCCCUUCACUAAGUACCAACCACAACAGCAUCAAAACAAUUUAGAAGAAAUGGAUUUACGUACCAUAAUGUUAAUGUAGAAUUGUUUAGCUGUUACUUUCAUGCAUGAAAGCUGAUCCAAUUUUGCUAAUAUAUUUUUUGUUAAAUUGCGCGUUAUUAUUAACCCAUUGAAAGAAGCAAAAUAUUUUUAUUGAUCAGUACUCAAAUUAAAUUUAAUUUCCUUUCGCAACAUUCUGUCGAAAUAUAAUUUGUUGUCAUCAUCAUAUUGUAAAAUGAACCAGACACUAAAUUCAAUGCAUUUAAGGAAUAUAAAGAUGCAAGACAAGAAACUAGAUAUAAUCACAAGAUUUUGGCAGUUUUCAUUAAAAUUGUAGUCUUUUGUCAAUGUUUUCCACCAUAAUUGUGCGUUAUCAAUAAAAAUAAAAAUAAAAAGCACAAAAUCAAGGCAGGGCACAUUACUUGACUAACAUGCUACCAUUGUAGUCAAUAGAAACAAUAAUGAAGAUACAGAGCACACACAUCAAGGCUAACACAAACAGGUACAUUGUUGAAAAAUUUCCACUUAUCAAUGUUAAAGCUUUGAAUUUUACUGAUAACAUAAUAUUGUGUGCUUUUUUUUAGGAUAUAUAAUGCAAAACUUUGUAAUCCCUGUUAUGCAUUUUGAGGUUAUAUACAUUUCCCCACUUUUGAAGUUUAUUCAUACAUAAUGGUAUUUUCAAACUAUGGCAGAAAUCUUAUAGUUACACUAACCAAAUAAAAACAAACAUAAACUGAACAAUUCUCCAAAUCCACAAACCAGGCAAAGGUCAACAUCUCAAACAUAUAAUUCGAACAAUAAUAGCAAUAUUAAAAAGAUCACAACAAAAAAUUCCUAUUACAUCUUACACCUUUAUGUUAUGGUUCCUAUCCUUCUUCAUAUUUAAUAUUUAUUUGAUGCAUCUCCAGCUGAUCGACGUAUUAUAUGUUCUUCAGGCUCUUGUAUUCCAUUGAUACGAACCAAGCUCUCAACAUAAACAUGAAAAAAGAGAUGGAUAGCGGAAAAUGAUCUUGAUAAGUGAUAAUCUCAAGCUCCUUAAGUACUUGAGUGGACGGGUCAACUAGUAAUAUUUCUUUAUUUGAGCUUAUAAGAAUCAAUUUACCAUUUUCCCCAAACCCCAGUGGGUGUACAAAUGGAGGAAUAGAUUUAAUACUGAAUUGUUUAGUCCGAACUCCAUCAUUCGUAACCCAUAAAUCUAAACACGUGUAAGUUUCUUUCGAUAGGUAAAAAAUAACACUGAGUGAUACAUUAAACACCUAUAGGCUUGUAAUAGCCCAUUUUUGACCGGGCCAAAUAUAAAAAAAAAAGUUAACAAUCCCAGUCUAUUUACAACAAAUCAGACAGGCCCAAAGCCCUAACGGCCCAAUAUGGCCUAAAAACUAAACGAAAUCAGAAAACCCUAGGGUUCCCUCCCCUCUCGCGCCGCAGCUUCUUCCAUGUACGCCUUUGGUGUGCAUGACGCCCGAUGACGACUCCUUCACCGAAGUUGCACCGAAAUGGCAAUGGUUUCUACCCGUUGACUCCUCAUGACCUGUAAAAUAGACGAAAACAGUAGCCAAUAGACAGAAACAGAGACAGUAAAAGAAAAAGCAGUAUAAUCGGCUAUAAAGCCCGAACGAAAAUGUAAUCUUGUUACAGGCGGAUAGUUGAAUGAAAAAAGAGAACAAAAUAUCAAUCAAAAGAUCCCGAAGGUUUACUUCUACCAUUAGUUUAAUUUUUAUUUUAUUCUACUUUUUUUUUAGUUUUUACAUACGAAAAUAAAGCAAAAGGAAAAAAAGGGAAUAAUAAAACUAACCUGUAUUCGGGUUUUUAACGCUGUGGACGGCCGAGGGAGUCACCUCCAAGGAUAGGUGGCUGGAAACUGAAAAGUUUCUCGAGCUUUUGGGGUGUUUUUGUUAACAUUUUUGGAUUUUUGAACCCAAAUUCGGAUUUAGGAGAGUCUAAAGGAUAGGGCUAGGGUUUUUACCCCUUUUCAACAACCGCGGACGUCGUUCUGCCGAAGACCCGCGCAUGCAACCCGACUCGCCAGAGGAUCCGCGCGUUUUUAACUUUUGGGCUAUUUGCGUUUCAGGCCGUUUUGCAUUUUUUGUAUGUUUCAAUUUGGUCCUUUGCAUUUUUUCUUUAUAUUUUCAUUUGGACAGCAGAUUUGUCUCGGUUUUUAGUUUGGUCCUCGAUUCGUUGGACCCUUGGGGAGGAGAUGCAUGGCCUAAAAGCGGGUUUAUUAGUCAUUUGGCCCUCGCCCUUUCGUGCCCUCUUCAUUCUGGUCCCUCUUUGUUUAUUUUAUUAUAGCUUUGAUCCUUAAAUUUCAUUUUUAUCCUGAUUUAGUCCAUUUUUGUUAUUUUUUAUUUUCUUAUUAAUUAAUAUAGUAUUAUCAUACUUAUAUUUUUUAUAUUUAUUUAUGAAUUAUUAUUAUAUCAUUAUAUUAUACUAUUAGCAUUGUAUCAUUAUUAUUUAAAUAAGUUUAUCUUAUUAUUGAUUAUUAUUAUUUGCUUAUACAUAUCCUUUUAUUUCAAACUUUAUCAUAUAUAUACACAUACAUAUAUAUCUUUUAUAUUUUAUAGUUUUUUAAAAUAAGUAUACACAUACAUACAUUUCUUAUAGUAUAUAUAUAUACAUACAUAUUUUAUAAUUUAUAUAUUUAUACAUUNNNNNNNNNNNNNNNNNNNNNNNNNNNNNNNNNNNNNNNNNNNNNNNNNNNNNNNNNNNNNNNNNNNNNNNNNNNNNNNNNNAUGUAUAUAUACAUACAUAUGUUUUUUCAUAUAUUUUAAAAUAUACAUACACACAUUUUUAUAAUAUACAUACGCACAUAUAUUUUAUGUUUUAUAUAUUUAUACAUACAUAUGCAUUUUAUAUUCUAUAACUUUAAAAUAUAUAUACAUACAUAUAUUCUCUUUUAUAUAUACUUUAUAAUCUUAAAAUAUACGUAUACUUAUAUACAUUUUAUAAUACAUAUAUGUACGUAUAUUUUAUAAUUUAUAUAUACAUAUAUAUUUGUUACAUUAUAUAAUUUUAAAAUAUGUAUAUAUAUACACACAUUUUUUUUAUUUUUUUAUAGUUUUAUUUAUUUUAUUUAUUGUAUUUUUUGUUUUACUCGAUGUUUAUUUGUUUAUUUGCAUAUAUGUUCAUUAUUAUUUUAAAAGAAUGUCCUAAUUAUUCAUUUAUUUACUUGUUAUGGUAUAAUUGAUUUGCAUUUUCUAUUAUUUGCAUCAUCGUAUUCAUUAUUGUGUUGUUAUACACAUUAAUACUGUGUUUUAUUUCUACAAUUUCGAGUUAGAUUAAUUUAUCUCGAUGCAUAGAUUUUGACUUUCGAAUAAGCAAAAUUUCGUGUUUAGAUUCGAGAAGGUCGUACCCUAACUUAUGGGGUUUCGAUUUUCGCAAUAAAUCUAAAUACACGAAUCAUUUCAAACUAAAGUUUUCUUUUUUUUAUGAUCUUGAGAAUUAACAAAAGGUCGUGUCCUAACUUACAGGACACGAUCCUUUUUUAAACUCGAGAUAGUUGAAUAUAUUUUCAAAUAGGUAAAUUUUCCUGCGUUUAUUCUCGUAUCGGGAAUUUAAGAUAUUGUGUCAUAACUUACGGGAUAUAAUUUUCUUCCUCGAUUAACGUGAAAUAUGCCUUAUUCUCAAAAUUUUUAGCAUUUCAAUAAAGGAUCGUAUUUUAAAUCUCUUUAAAGUUUUCAAUUUUCGAGACUAAGACAUUAAUCAAUCAACUAGGUACCAAUUUUGGGCGUUACGAGGGUGCUAAUCCUUCCUCAUACGUAACCAACUCCCGAACUCGUUUUUCUGAAUUUCAUGGACUAAAAUCUUUGUUUUAAUAAAAUCAAAUUGUUUAUUAAAAACCACUUUUCAAGGUGGCCCGAUCACACAUUAUCAAAAAGGAUUGGUGGUGACUCCCAUAUUCGUUUUCAUUUUUAAAAUCCAAGUCGAUCGCGUUUUCAAAAAAAAUGUUCGAUAUCAUUCCUCAGGUCAAAUGAAAGAAUUAUUUCUCUAAAACCAUAAUAUUCCCCCAUUAUUGUUUGCCAAUAGCAAAUUCCAUCUAUGUAAUUAUUUCCCAAAAUUAUAUUAGUUGGUUUAUAAUUAAGAAAUGGAAUUUCCUUCCAGGAAUCACUUCUAAGUGAAUACAACUCAACUUGGAGAACAUUUGGGAACUCAAAAUCACAAUAUAUUUCUCCUACCUCACAAAUAUCAAAAGUAAGAGUAACAAAUUGUACGACUUUGUAGUCAUCAGUUUACAAUCAAACCCAAAAGCAAUGUGGUGAAAAGAAACGUCAUUUAAAAUGCGAUAACCUUUGAUGCAGGGAAGAUAUGAAGCGCGUUGGACUGAAGAUGGUGGAAGGAUUUUAAACUCUCUGGUUGAUGGGUUCCAAAUGGAAACCUUAUCCGUUGAAGAAUCAUGUAAACACAAUAAUCCAUGAGAAGCACCACAAACAGAGACUUCUUUCUUAAAAAGGGGCAGGUAAACGUCUUGUUUUACUAAAAAAUUAUUUUAUUCGGUUGAAAGUUGGAAGAUGUCACUAUCAUACCGCUUGAGAAGUAGAUUAAGGUUGGUGUUUUUAAGGUUGUUGUGGUGAUGUUUGGAAAUGAAAUGAGGAGUUUGAAAAAGAAGAACACCAAUACUUACAAACACAGUUGAAGUAAGGGAUUUAACUGGAAGCUUUGACAGAAUUUCCAUCUCAAAAGCUUUGGCAAUUCAAAUUGUAAAACCCAAAUUCUGCCCGGGCCCAUUAAAACCAAAUUAUAAUAAACCAAAUAUAAAAGCCCAUCUACACAACCCAAAAAAUCAAACCCAUUACAUCAAACCCAAUCCCCGGCCCAAAUAUCCAUUAACCCAAAUAGCCCAAUUACAUUAAAGCCCAAAAAAAUAGUUUUCAGAAACCCCUAGGGUUUCUGGAACAAUCCAAGCGCCGCUCCUGCCCUCCGCAGACACCAGCCUCUCGCCUCGGCCGCACGUACGCCUCCACCUCCAGGCUGGUUGUGUACUUGCAAAAAUUCAAACAACCAACAAAAGAAAGCACUAGAAAGCCGUGAUUAAAUACUAAAAUUACAUAUUUUAUGUAAUUAAUUUGGUAUAUUUAUGAGAAUGCACCACUAAUUUUGCCAUAUUUAUUGAAUUUUGUGCAGGAAUGUAAUUUGGGGCUAAAUAGAAGAAAAAGGAAACAAUUGGGCUGAAUUGAAGAAAGAAGCGAAAAAGGAGGGCCAAAGAUUAAUUAGCUGAAAUUUUUGAGUUAGUGGGAGAAUAUUUUGGGAUUUAUUUUAUUUUGGGAUAUUUUUUUCCUUAAUUUCCUAUGACUAGUUGGCUCCUAAUUUAGUAAAUCAACUAGUAUAAAUAGAGCUUGUAUUGCUCAUCAUUUCAUCAAUCAAAAAAUAAUUUAGCUUUUGUCUUUCAAUUCUCUCAUUUCUCACGUAGCCUUUGUUAUUUCUUAGCUUGUUUUCCUUCAAUUUUCAUUAGUUCCAGUAGCCUACCAUCCAUUUCACCUUUAUUUUCAACUUUUCACAAAUUUAUUUAUUGUCUUUAGUUUCUUUAACUUUUAAUUCCUAAAAACUUCCAGCUUUUACUACUUUCCAUUUACAAUACCUUUUUCAAAUUCCCUUUUUCAACCACCCCCACACUUAAUCACAUCACCCAUCUUUUCACCUCUUCUACCUUAUUUAAUUUAUCAAAUACCAACAUGUCCCAAACCUUAGCCAACUAAACCCAUUUUCAGCUUUAGGCCGAAAUUAGCCUCGUCAAAACCCGUGAGUUACGAACCCGAGCCAUUUAACUCCUAAAAUUCCAGUACUUAUUACUUCUCCGGAUUAAGAGUAUGAUUUUGUCAGCUCAUAAAUUCAGAUCAACACUAAGUCAAAAAAGACGUCGUUUGAUUUGGUGUGAUUAGACGUACAGUUGGAAUUUCGAAAAGAACGUUUCUAAUCGGUUUUCUGUGAACACAUUAGCGUGCCAAGUGGAGGCUGCUAUUUGGUUCCGUCAAGGGAAGUAGUAACCGGAUUUAAAUGUCCCACGCGGUUGAGGGCAUUGGUUCGAGCUAGGCUCUUCUAGAACGCAAAGCUGCCGGAGUUCUAAAUCACGAACGUUUCGUGGUUGUUCGAUCGGUAAGAAUUAUUUAUUAGACGUUCCAUAACUAAUUUACACAAGGAAGAGUUGGUGUCCGAGGCGUCCUUGGUAGCUAUAACUAGCUUAUUGGAAAAUAGCAGUUCAUCCAAUUUCGAGGAUCGGUUCAAAGACGAGGAAAAUUCGCGCCUAAAGCUGAGCUCAUUCUAAUUAAUUUUUCUUAAUAUUUAUUUCACAGUUAUUAUUAUUCUGUUUUCAACUUUUACUUUUGACAUUAUUUUUCUGUUAAUUUCAGGUUUUCAAAUUUUUAUCCCCCCAAACGUCUUGGGCACGACAGCUGCCCCGACAUAAAUCUGGUCAAACGAGCAACAAUUUACAGUAAACCAGUCUCUGAGGGAUCGACCCUACUCUCUAUACUGCAUAAUUUGCAACUUAAGGCGUAGGUUUAUAUUGGUGGAUUCGACACCCAUCAGUUUUGGCGCCGUUGCCGGGGACUAGCAACACUUACAAAUUGCUUAAAUUAUCUUCAUGACCAGAUCUUCAUCCGGAGAUCUCAGAGAUCGAAAAAUCAGCACGAGCACGACGUAAAGAGACGGAAGUUCUUAAGCGUGUAGCAGUAAUUGAACGUGGAAAACAAGUCGAAGUGGUUGAUCCUGAGACCGAACCACCUCCUACAACAAAAGAAGUAGAAGACAACCUCGGUGAACCAGAAAGGAUGGCACACCGAACCAUUCGUCAACUAGCUGCUGCUUCCAACGACCAAACACCGUUAUGCAUCAACUAUCCAAUCGGAAAAACCCCAUUCGAGUUGAAGUCAGGCCUGAUCCACCUUUUGCCCACUUUUCGAGGCUUGAAGAACGAAAAUCCACAUACCCACUUGAGAGAAUUCCACAUGGUCUGCUCAAGCAUGAAACCACAGGGAGUAACCAAAGAUGAAAUUAAACUUCGGGCAUUUCCUUUUUCUUUAGUUGAUACAGCAAAAGAAUGGUUAUUUUACUUACCUCCAGGUUCUAUUACAACGUGGGAUGACUUAUCUCGUGUUUUUCUUGACAGGUUUUUCCCAGCAUCGCGAGCAGCUGAACUUAGGAGAGACAUAGUGGGAAUUCGACAAAUGGAGAGCGAAUCGCUCUACGACUAUUGGGAGCGAUACAAAAAACUGUGUGCAAGUUGUCCUCAACACGGUUUGACCGAACAAUCACUUCUUCAAUAUUUCUACGAGGGUUUGCUCCCUAUGGAAAUGAAAAUGAUUGACGCUACUAGUGGAGGGGCGCUUGUCAAUAUGACUCCUCAAAGGGCAAGAGAACUGAUAUCCACUANNNNNNNNNNNNNNNNNNNNNNNNNNNNNNNNNNNNNNNNNNNNNNNNNNNNNNNNNNNNNNNNNNNNNNNNNNNNNNNNNNNNNNNNNNNNNNNNNNNNNNNNNNNNNNNNNNNNNNNNNNNNNNNNNNNNNNNNNNNNNNNNNNNNNNNNNNNNNNNNNNNNNNNNNNNNNNNNNNNNNNNNNNNNNNNNNNNNNNNNNNNNNNNNNNNNNNNNNNNNNNNNNNNNNNNNNNNNNNNNNNNNNNNNNNNNNNNNNNNNNNNNNNNNNNNNNNNNNNNNNNNNNNNNNNNNNNNGUGGAAGGAUCAUCCCAACUUUAAUUACGGAGCUAACCCCCGAUAUAAUCCGUCAUACCAACCGAGACCUUUGCAACCACCGCAACUGCCACCCAAGCCGAGCACAUCUCUAGAAGCUAUUGUGGAAAGACUUGCCGUCGAUGUUGCGAAGUACCAACAGAGGACAGACGCAUCAAUUCAGGAGUUAACUAAUCAAGUUAGUAAACUCUCGAUGGCGGUUAAUCGUUUGGAAUCUCAAGGUAAAUUACCUUCCCAGACAGAGCCGAAUCCUCGGCAGAAUGCAAGUGCAAUAACUCUUCGUAGCGGAAAAGUUCUGGAAACAGUUCCAGACAAAAGUCAUGGGCAAGAAAACAAAUGGGAAAAACAGAUCUCUGAUCCAAAAGCCAGACCGGAGUCAGAAAUUCAAAAACCAGUUGUGGUGCCACCUCCUUUUCCAGGGAGACUCGCGAAGGAUAAGAAAGAAAAGGAGGAAAAAGAAAUCCUUGAAACGUUUAGGAAAGUGGAGGUGAAUAUCCCUUUGCUCGACGCUAUCAAGCAAAUCCCUCGUUAUGCAAAAUUUCUCAAGGAAUUGUGCACUAGCAAGAGGAAGUUAAUAGGUAACGAAAGAGUAAAUGUAGGAGAAAAUGUCUCCGCGGUACUACAAAAGAAAGUUCUGCCUAAAUACAAGGACCAAGGUAUGUUUUCUAUUUCCUGUGAGAUAGGUAAUGUAGGCAUUAAGAAAGCCAUGUGCGAUUUAGGGGCUUCCAUUAAUGUUAUGCCUUAUCCUAUUUAUAAGUUGAUUGACGCGGGUCCUUUGAAAAAGACAGGAGUAAUAAUCCAGUUGGCGAGCAGGUCAGUCAUCUAUCCCGAAGGGUUGCUUGAAGACGUCCUUGUUAAAGUUAACGANNNNNNNNNNNNNNNNNNNNNNNNNNNNNNNNNNNNNNNNNNNNNNNNNNNNNNNNNNNNNNNNNNNNNNNNNNNNNNNNNNNNNNNNNNNNNNNNNNNNGGAAGGCCAUUUUUAAGUACCGCAAGUGCAAAAAUUGAUGUUCAGAGUGGAACAUUGACAAUGGAGUUUGAUGGCGAAAUCAUGAAAUUCAAUGUCUACGAAGCCAUGAGUCAUCCUAACUCAUUGUCAAAUAUUUCCAGUAUCGAUAGUAUAGAUUGUUUAACUCAAAAUUAUUCUGAAUAUCAUGACUUUGAUGAAUUGGAAACUGUCUUUUACAGAAGCAUUGACAUGGAUGUAUUGAGUCGUCUCGAGGAGUUAGAAGUUAUAGAAGAUCCGUUGCGAGAAAUUGUCAAACACUUGGAGACUCAACCAUCGUCGACGAGUUGAGGUAACCAUCUUGAACUAUUACCUUCCCAAGUUAAAAUGUUGCCUUCGAUUUUGCAGCCACAACCUUGGAGCUCAAAGCGUUACCAGACCACCUCAAGUAUGUUUUUUUGGGAGAGAAAGACACCCUACCGGUAAUAGUGUCAAACAGACUAACCAAAGACGAGGAGGAAAGUCUAGUUCGAGUUCUGAAGGAAUAUAAGGAAGCUAUUGGUUGGACAAUAGCUGACAUAAAAGGGCUAAGUCCAUCCACCUGUAUGCACAGAAUUUCCAUCGAAGAUAACACGAAACCAAAGAGAGAUGCUCAGAGGCACCUUAAUCCACCCAUGACGGAGGUAGUAAAGAAGGAGAUCCAGNNNNNNNNNNNNNNNNNNNNNNNNNNNNNNNNNNNNNNNNNNNNNNNNNNNNNNNNNNNNNNNNNNNNNNNNNNNNNNNNNNNNNNNNNNNNNNNNNNNNAUGUUGGAUGCUGGAAUGAUAUACCCGAUCUGUGACAGUGAUUGGGUUAGCCCAGUUCAUGUCGUGCCCAAGAAAACUGGCGUGACAGUGGUGCAAAAUUCAUUAGGAGAGCUAGUUCCUACCCGAGUCCAGAAUGGAUGGAGGGUUUGCAUCGAUUACAGGAAGUUGAACGCAGCUACCCGAAAAGACCAUUUUCCACUUCCCUUCAUCGAUCAAAUGCUCGAGCGAUUAGCUGGUAAGACUCAUUAUUGUUGUCUCGAUGGAUAUUCAGGAUUUUUCCAAAUUCCGGUGGCGCCUGAGGAUCAAGACAAAACAACUUUUACGUGCCCCUUUGCAACAUUUGCGUAUAGACGAAUGCCGUUUGGACUCUGUAAUGCUCCGGCCACCUUCCAGAGAUGUAUGGUAAGCAUAUUCUCCGAUUACAUCGAGAAAAUCAUUGAAGUCUUCAUGGAUGACUUCACGGUGUACGGUAACUCUUUUAAUGAAUGUCUCGAUAAUCUUGCUAAGAUAUUACAAAGAUGCCUAGAAUUUAAUCUUGUUUUAAAUUAUGAAAAAUGCCAUUUCAUGGUUGACAAAGGACUAGUUUUAGGUCAUAUAGUUUCCUCAGAAGGUAUUGAGGUCGAUAAAGCAAAAACAGAUAUUAUUAACUCAUUACCUUACCCCACAUCUGUGAGGGAAAUUCGUUCGUUUCUUGGACAUGCAGGAUUUUACAGACGAUUCAUAAAAGACUUCUCGAAGAUCGCGCAACCGCUCUGCAGUCUGUUACAGAAGGAUAAAGAAUUUAAAUUUGAGCAGACUUGUAAAGAUGCAUUUGAUGUACUGAAGCAGAAAUUGGUCUCCGCCCCCAUAGUGCAACCACCGAAUUGGAACUUCCCGUUUGAAAUCAUGUGUGAUGCAAGUGAUCGAAGUGUGGGAGCUGUUCUUGGCCAAAGAAUAGGGAAAGAGCCUCAUGUUAUCUACUACACUUCGAAAACUUUGGAUGCUACCCAAAGCAAUUACACAACCACUGAGAAAGAAUUAUUAGCUGUUGUGUUUGCUUUAGAUAAAUUUAGGUCUUACCUGAUGGGAACUAAAGUGAUUAUUUUUUCUGAUCAUGCAGCUUUGAAAUAUUUGAUAGGGAAGAAGGAGGCAAAACCUCGACUAAUUAGGUGGAUUCUACUUCUGCAAGAAUUUGAUUUUGAAAUCCGGGAUAAGAAGGGAUGCGAAAACUUAGUAGCCGACCAUCUGAGUCGAUUACCGAUUCCGACAGAUGACACACCAUUGAAAGACAACUUCCCAGAUGAAAACCUGUUUUCAGCAAAUGCGGUUCAUCCUUGGUACGCAGAUAUAGUAAAUUAUCUCGUCACAGGUACUAUACCUUCAGAAUUACCAAGGUCCAGAAAAGAUAAGAUUAAAAAAGAUGCUCGAUAUUACAUUUGGGACGAUCCUUACCUAUGGAAGCAUUGCUCCGAUCAGGUAAUUCGACGGUGUGUAGCAGAAACAGAGGUACAGUCUAUCUUAACUUUUUGCCAUUCUUAUGCAUGUGGAGGACACUUUGGACCUAAACGCACCGCACAUAAAAUUCUCGAGUGUGGACUAUUUUGGCCAAGUAUAUUUCGUGACGCCUUCUUAUUUUGUAAAACCUGUGAAAAAUGCCAAAAAGUCGGUAAUCUUAGCCGUCGAAAUGAGAUGCCCCUUACUCCCAUCCAUAUUUGUAAAAUUUUCGAUGUGUGGGGCAUCGAUUUUAUGGGUCCUUUUAUUUAUUCUUUUGGAAAUUUUUAUAUACUCUUAGCUGUUGAUUACGUUUCUAAGUGGAUAGAAGCAAAGGCUACUCGUAAUGAUAAUGCUAAAACUGUGGUUGACUUUCUUAAAAGUUCUAUCUUUUCCAGGUAUGGCACCCCACGAGCAUUAAUCAGUGAUAGAGGAACCCAUUUUUGCAAUAAGCUCGUAAGUGCACUUAUGGAGAAGUACGGAGUGACUCAACGAAUUUCUACCGCCUACCAUCCACAGACAAACGGACAAGCUGAAGUGUCAAAUCGAGAAAUCAAGUCCAUCUUGGAGAAGACUGUUAAACCAAACAGAAAGGAUUGGAGCUUGAGACUAAAUGACGCACUCUGGGCUUAUAGGACAGCUUACAAGGGACCAAUCGGCAUGUCACCUUAUCGACUCAUUUUUGGUAAACCGUGCCAUCUCCCGGUCGAAUUAGAGCAUAAAGCAUUUUAGGCAGUUAAGCAGUGUAAUAUGGAAAUGGAGACCGCAGGAAGAGCUCGAAAGUUGGACAUUCAGGAACUCGAGGAAAUUAGAAACGAUGCAUAUGAAAAUGCUCGAGUUUAUAAAGAAAAGACGAAGGCGUUCCACGAUAAGAGGAUCACUAGAAAGCAGUUUUCAAUAGGACAAAAAGUUCUCCUAUACGACUCCACCUUAAAAAUUUUUACGGGUAAGCUUCGAUCCAAAUUGAUAGGUCCAUUUACUAUCACUAAUCUAUUCUCAAAUGGUGCAGUGGAAAUUCAAAGCGAAGAAACCCGAAAGUGCUUUAAGGUGAAUGGUCAACGACUGAAACCCUUCUACGAGAAUUUUCAAAUACACACAGUUGAGGAGAUUGUUCUCGAAGAGCCCAAAACUUGAAUAACACAGGUCGUCGAGCUAAACGACGUUAAACAAAGCGCUGUUGGGAGACAACCCAAAUUUUCUUUUCCUUUAUGCAAAUAAAAUUUUUGGUAAAAUGGAAAAUGGAAAUGCAUGUCAAGGAUUAGUUCUGUCUAAGGAAAGACUUGGUACUUAAGUAUGUCCAUUGUGACUCACCUCUCUUUCCUGGGAACUUACUUGGUGCAUUUAUCACGACUGUUUUACCAAAUCUCGUAAUCUUGGUUUUUAAUAAUUUAUUUCUCGAGUUUAUAGCUUAGCUAAUAAAUUUGAAAAAAAACAUUUUAAUUUCCCUAUUAUUAUUAUUUAUUUUUACUAUUUUAUUUUUGCAGGAAAACAUUCCAAGACAAAAUUAAAUUCCACAUGUCAACCCACAAAAUUCUUUUUUCAGUUAAGGCCCACUCUACCUACGAGACCGCCCUCCAUGACGUUGAAAUACAUGGGGAGUUUCUUUUUCUCUCUUUCUCCUACUUAUCUUUACUUUUAUUUUUUAAAUUACAUUGGGACAAUGUAAAAUAAGUAGGGGGGAGGGAAACAUAAAUUGGUUCUAAUUUGCUUAUCUGUCGUCGCUAUUUUUGCAUGUUUUCGGUAAAAGGUAAAUUUUUCUUUUAAUUGGGAUGGUACACUUAUGGUUUGACCGAUUUAGCUAUUUAAUUCUUUACACAUGAAACUUUUCAAUAACCUAGACUUAGUAGGUAAGAAAUUUUUGGAAUUAUGAGUUUGCUUGAUUGCCUACCUUUUAUCAUAUGUUUUUAUUAUUUUUUCAAAAAAAAAAGAUUAAAUACUCCUCUGAUACAAAUGUUAAGAGUGAAAAUUUGGGUUGUAUAUCGAAUUAAGUAACCGGAAUGUGGUGCUUGGGUUGUCAUCACAUCUCGUGUAAAAAGGUUCAUGUGACUGUCCAAUUUAUUUGCACUCACUCCGCUGACAAGUUAUUAUGAGUAGGGCGAAAUAACCCGCUUAGAGACGUCCGAAUUGAGUAACCGGAACAUGGUGCUUGGGUUGUCAUCAUGUCUCGCGUCAAAAAAUUCGAUAAUGUCCUAAGUACAAAAAUAAAUAAAUAAAAUAAAAUGAAAGGUAAAUCUAUCAAGCUCUCAUAAAUUCUGAUAUAUAUUUACUUACUGCUUAGGCUAGGUUAUUUGAGUUGUUAAUGUGCUAGGAUUGAAUUGUUGAAUUGUGCAAACGAUGAGUAUCAAGUCCUAUUUUGGAGAAUUUUUUUCCUUUUGCAGAUACAUACAAAAUGCUCGAGGACUAGCAUAAGCUAAGUAGGGGGAAUUGAUUAAAUACUAAAAUUACAUAUUUUAUGUAAUUAAUUUGGUAUAUUUAUGAGAAUGCACCACUAAUUUUUCCAUAUUUAUUGAAUUUUGUGCAGGAAUGUAAUUUGGGGCUAAAUAGAAGAAAAAGGAAACAAUUGGGCUGAAUUGAAGAAAGAAGCGAAAAAGGAGGGCCAAAGAAGAAUUUUUCCAAGAUUAAUUAGCUGAAAUUUUUGAGUUAGUGGGAGAAUAUUUUGGGAUUUAUUUUAUUUUGGGAUAUUUUUUCCUUAAUUUCCUAUGACUAGUUGGCUCCUAAUUUAGUAAAUCAACUAGUAUAAAUAGAGCUUGUAUCGUUCAUCAUUUCAUCAAUUAAAAAAUAAUUUAGCUUUUGUCUUUCAAUUCUCUCCUUUCUCACGUAGCCUUUGUUAUUUCUUAGCUUGUUUUCCUUCAAUUUUCAUUAGUUCCAGUAGCCUACCAUCCAUUUCACCUUUAUUUUCAACUUUUCACAAAUUUAUUUAUUGUCUUUAGUUUCUUUAACUUUUAAUUCCUAAAAACUUCCAGCUUUUACUACUUUCCAUUUACAACACCUUUUUCAAAUUCCCUUUUUCAACCACCCCCACACUUAAUCACAUCACCCAUCUUUUCACCUCUUUUACCUUAUUUAAUUUAUCAAAUACCAACAUGUCCCAAACCUUAGCCAACUAAACCCAUUUUCAGCUUUAGGCCGAAAUUAGCCUCGUCAAAACCCGUGAGUUACGAACCCGAGCCAUUUAACUCCUAAAAUUCCAGUACUUAUUACUUCUCCGGAUUAAGAGUAUGAUUUUGUCAGCUCAUAANNNNNNNNNNNNNNNNNNNNNNNNNNNNNNNNNNNNNNNNNNNNNNNNNNNNNNNNNNNNNNNNNNNNNNNNNNNNNNNNNNNNNNNNNNNNNNNNNNNNCACUAAGUCAAAAAAGACGUCGUUUGAUUUGGUGUGAUUAGACGUACAGUUGGAAUUCUGAAAAGAACGUUUCUAAUCGGUUUUCUGUGAACACAUUAGCGUGCCAAGUGGAGGCUGCUGUUUGGUUCCGUCAAGGGAAGUAGUAACCGGAUUUAAAUGUCCCACGCGGUUGAGGGCAUUGGUUCGAGCUAGGCUCUUCUAGAACGCAAAGCUGCCGGAGUUCUAAAUCACGAACGUUUCGUGGUUGUUCGAUCGGUAAGAAUUAGUUAUUGGACGUUCCAUAACUAAUUUACACAAGGAAGAGUUGGUGUCCGAGGCGUCCUUGGUAGCUAUAACUAGCUUAUUGGAAAAGAGGAGUUCAUCCAAUUUCGAGGAUCGGUUCAAAGACGAGGAAAAUUCGCGCCUAAAGCUGAGGUCAUUCUAAUUAAUUUUUCUUAAUAUUUAUUUCACAGUUAUUAUUAUUCUGUUUUCAACUUUUACUUUUGACAUUAUUUUUCUGUUAAUUUCAGGUUUUCAAAUUUUUAUCCCCCCAAACGUCUUGGGCACGACAGCUGCCCCGACAUAAAUCUGGUCAAACGAGCAACAAUUUACAGUAAACCAGUCUCUGAGGGAUCGACCCUACUCUCUAUACUGCAUAAUUUGCAACUUAAGGCGUAGGUUUAUAUUGGUGGAUUCGACACCCAUCAAGCCGUAACAGAAUAUAACAAAUAAUAGAGAAAAUAUAAAAUAAAAAACAAAUAUUUUUUGUAUUUUGAUUCGACUAUAUAAAGCCGAAUUUUGCAUCUGUAAGAGGAUUUUUUUUUUGGAAUCAAUCAAAAAAGGAAAAAGUAUUCAAUACCAACAAUCAGAGAAUUUAAAAUACAAAAUAGAGAUCUAAGGUAGUCUUCUGCUAUUUUUUUCUUUCUUCGUUUUGAUUUGUUUUUUUAAAAUAACAUAGAAAAUAAAAAAAGGAAAGGAGACUUACCUAAUUGCCUUACGACGCAUCGUUGGAGGUGCCUCCCCCGCUGCCUUCAAAUCUGCUUCAAAAAGGAAUAAAAAGCCAAUUAUGGUGUGGCUCCGACCACCGUUCACGGUGGAAUCGCGGAGGAGGCACGGUGGACUGGCGACGGCUAAUGCUGGGUUUGAAACCCUAGCAGAGAAAAUGGAUGUUUUUUUUAAACAAAAUAGCAGAAUGUUUUUUUUAAAUUGUUGUUUUUAUAAAGGGUUUGAAACGGCGUCGUUUAGGCCUGUUAAGGUGGCCUCAAAACGGCGUCGUAUAAGCCAUGACCCACUCAGUGACCCGACCUGAAGAAAGGAUCCGCGUGUUUUGUCUCAAUGGUUUACUUGCGUUAAUUGGUCCCCCACUUUUGUAACGUGUUUAAAUUGAUCCUUUUAUGUUUCUUAAAUUUUGCCACAUAUUUCAUUGUUUGUUUCAAUUUGGUCCAUGCUGAAACGCAGCGUUUUGCGGCUGGGGAUAUUUUCCUCUGUAGUCCCCAUGUUCUUCGUGCGUGCCUUUUUGGUCCUCAAUUCUGCUUUAUUUUCAUUUUUUUUCUUUUUAUUUCAAAUUUAAUACAAUUUUAUCCAUACUUAUUUAAUUUAAUGUACUUGAUUUUUAUUCUAUUUAAAAUUCAUUUUUCUUUUAUUUUUAGAUAUAUUUAUUUUUAAAUCUAACUUUCUUUUUAUGUUUAAGUUUAAUAUAUUUUUAAUUUUAUUAUCAAUACGAUUUCAAUAUUAUAAUAUAUUAUUAUUUUAAACCUAUCAUUAAUAUUAUGUAAAUUCUGUUGGGAUUGGGGUUUUACAUCUCAGAGUAGAGCUGCAAACUGAUGGAGGCCAUUGAAGUGCCAGCUUGUAGAAGUCCGGAAUUGCUGGUUGCUGGGGUACUACAAAUGCUACCCAUAAUGAAAAAUUGAUACAAUGCAUUUUUACAAAUUUACAAAUAAAAAGAGAACUACUCCAUAUAUAAAUAUUACAUGCAUGGAUCGUUGGGCUGAGAUUGGAUGAUUGUACUUUGUGAGUAGCUGGUUUAUGAUCUCUUUUAUAAGCUUAGCACACAUAUUUCACAAAAUUUUUAAAGUCCUACAACCAUGAAAUAAAUAUUGAAGUUACUUAUCUCGAAGAGUUACUUCACAAUCACACCAAGAGAGAAAUAAACAAACUCACUUGUCUGAGUGGCUGAUUAUUCACCACCACCCAUGGCACAUAUUUGUUGGUGUUAAUAACAAAGAACAAACAAGUUGGCUGAGACUUGAGCAGCAAGGCUCGAUUCUUGCUGAAGAAAUAACAAAAUUUUCAAGACAGAAAAUUGAAAAGAAAAGUAAAGAACAAUGGAGAGUAUUUGAAACAAAAAACUGAUUGAAUUCAUUCAAUUUGAAAAAUGGCAUAAUGCCAAUACAUAAAUUAAGCACUGAGCUUGUCAAAAACAGAAAGUGGUCACCUAAUCAACACCUACUACCACUUAGACAUUGAAACUUGAAAAACAAAACUUGUAAACAUAGAUAAAGUUGAGUUUACAGCUCAUUCACCAUCUAAUUACAUCAAUCAUAAACCUAACUUAGUUUAAAAUGAACUAGAAUACAUUUCCUUAAACAAAAGUUACAAAAUGAACAAAAGAUCACCAGUUGCACUUGCUCCAAUAGCUUCUGCAUGGCUCGACCUGCAUGUCUUGUUUUUUUACUGCUCUUGGUGCUACAUGCUGACCAUAUUUCAACACUCCUCCUUGGUUAGCAUGUUGCAAACUCCAAUCUCUUUCUCAAAUGCUCGAACUUUGUCACACUAAGGGGCUUGGUUAAAAUGUCAGCAAGUUGAUCCUCUGAAUUGCAAUGAACCAGUUUCAUUUCUUGUGCUUGCUCCAUUUCUCUAACAACAUGAAGUUUAAUGUUGAAAUGUUUUGUUCUUCCAUGGAACACUGGGUUCUUUGCAAUUGCAACAGCGUACUGGUCUUCACAAAAGAUCUUUAUUGCUUCCCUUUGAUACACAUUUAAAUCAGCCAUUAUUUUCCUUAGCCAAUUGGCUUGGUUUACAACAUUUGAUGCUGCAACAUAUUCUACUUCAGCAGUAGAUUGUACAACUACUGUUUGUUUCUUCAAGCUCCAACAAAACAUAGCUGAACCAAGAUUGAAAGUAUACCCUGAGGUCUUUUCAUGUCAUCCAUCGAACAAGCCUAGUUACUAUCAGUAUAGCCAACCAACUUGAGGAAUUUAGCAUUUCUAUAUAUCAUUCCAUGGCUCAGUGUACCCUUGACAUACCUGAGCACUCUCUUUGCAGCUUGAAAGUGUCUCAUAUUGCUACAAUGCAAGAACCUUGAAAGCAAACUUACAGCAAACAUAAUGUCUGCCCUAGUGGCUGUUAGGUACAACAAGUAACCAACUAAGCUUCUGUAGAUUAUUUCAUAAACCUUCUCAAAAUCAUCAUGGCUCGAUAGUUUUUCUCCAACAGCAACUGGAGUAUUGGUUGCUUUGCUAUUUUGCAUUGAGAACUUGGUCAGAAUCUUAGAGGCAAAGGCUCUCUGACUUAGGAAUAUCCCAUUGUGUGUUUGUGUUACUUCCAUACCAAGAAAAUAGGUUAUCAUUCCUAGAUUAGACAUCUCAAAUAUUUGUUGCAUUUUGGUUUUGAAAUUAAUCAGUGUUGUUUGGUCUCCUCCUGUCACUAACAGGUCAUCAACAUACAGAGAUACAAUGAGUUGAGCCUAUGCCCCUUCUUUCUUAACAUAAAAAGUUAGCUCACUCUUGCUUCUUUUAAAUUUCAAGUUGACCAGGUAGCUAUCGAUCCUGCUAUACCAGGCCCUUUGAGCCUGUUUCAAGCCAUACAAGGCUUUCUUCAGUUUAUAAACCAAGUGUUCUUUACCAGCUAUUUCAAAGCCCUGAGGUUGUUCAACAUAGAUAUCCUCUUCAAGAAAUCCAUUGAGAAGGGCAGACUUCACAUCGAGCUGGUGGAUUUUCCAUUGCAUUUGUGCUGCUAAGGCAAUCAGCAACCUAAUGGUGUUGAGCCUGGCCACUACUGCAAAGGUCUCCAAGUAAUUCAAACCAUACUUCUGGCUAAACCCCUUAACAACCAGCCUUGGUUUCAGCUUAUUCAAGCUCCCAUCAGCAUUGUGCUUGGCUCGAUAGACCUAUUUUACCCCAAUAACCUUCCUAUUUGCUGGUCUUUGAAUCAGCUCCUAAGUCUGAUUCUUCUUAAUCAUGCUGAUUUUAUCAGCCAUUGCUUGUUUCUAGCCUAGGUGUACUUUAGCCUUUUCAAAGUAGCUUGGUUAUACUAUAACUACAUGAGCUCUUUCAUAAAUCUCAACCAAUGGUCUAGUGCCCCUGAUUGGUUCAUCAUCAAUGUCUAUUUCAGGACCAUUUUGAUCUGGCUCAGUUUGAUUUGCCAUUAGAUCUUUAGGAACUAUUUUUGGUUCAUUCUUCUCCCAGUUCCAACAUGUUUUCUCAUCGAACACCACAUCUCUUCUUACAGACACUUUGUUUGUUGAAGGAUCCAAGAUCCUAUAGCCCUUUUUGACUGUACUGUAGCCCACCAGAAUACCAGGUUGAGCUUUCUUGCCUAAUUUGUCCCUCUUCACUGCUGGGACAUGAGCAUAGCAUAUGCUACCAAAGACCCUUAGAUGAGCGAGUGAAGGUUUGAACCCGAACCAGGCUUCAAAUGGAGUCUUGUCAGCCAAGGCCUUGGUUGGAAGUCUGUUUUGGAUGUACACACAGUGUUGACUACCUCAGCCCAUAAGGUUUUGGGCAAAUUCUUCUCAAACAAUAGGCAUCUGGCCAUAUCCAUCAAGCUCCUAUUCUUCCUCUCAUUUACACCAUUCUGUUGAGGAGUAUAGGUGUUGGUGGGCUGGUGUUUGAUACCUACUUCAUCACUAAAAGCUUGGAACUGAGCUGAGGUGUAUUUAGUCCCAUUAUCGGACCUUAUGGUUUUUAGCUUGCAGCCAGUUUUAGUCUCUGUAGCAAUCUUGAAUUUGGAAAACACUGAGGCCACUUCUGAUUUCUGUUUCAAGAAGUAAAUCCAGCAAAACUUGAGAAAUCAUCAAUAAAUAGAAUAAAGUACCUGCUUCCAUUCAGUGACUCAGUCUUCAUGGGGCCACACAUAUCAUUGUGCACGAGCUGUAGCCUUUCUGAGGUUCUCCAGGCCUGAUUCGAGGGAAAUAGGAGUUUGGCCUAUUUUCCUAGCUGGCAUACUUCACAAACUUCCUAUUUUUCAACUGAACCAAUGAAAUUUUUAGCCAAAUCUUCUCUGGUCAGUUGCUCCAUCGAUCUAUAGUUGGCAUGACCAAGCCUUUGAUGCCAGAGCUUGGAUUCAUCUGAUGUGGCUAUAUAAGCAGUGUUUGAGCCAUUUGUCCAAUUAACAACAAAACUCUUAUCAUUCACAGUGAAUAUCAUGAACUUGGAUCCACUUGGAUCACUAAUUUGACACUCAUUGCGUUUGAACACUACAGAAUACCCUUUUUCUAAUAGCUGAGCAGGUUUCUAUUGAUUUCAGGCACCAACAACACAUUUAAAAUGAGCUCGUUGCCUGUAGGAGUGCAUAUCAAAACAUCUCCUCUACCUUUUGCCUUUAUAAAAUGGCCAUUGCCAACCUUUACCUUGGUUUUGUAGCUUUUGUCUAAUAAUUUGAAGAUGGCAGCAUCUGGUGUCAUAUGGUUGGUGCAACCAAUGUCUAAGAGCCAGCCAUUUGUAAGCUUCUCCUGAGCAGCUGAGCAUGACACAACAAAAACUUGCUCUUGUAAUAGCCUAGGCUCACAAAAAAAAACCCAAAAUAAUAAAACCAAGUCUAAGUCCAGUCCAAAAUUAUAUCAUUUGGCCCAAUCGAAAUGGCCUGUUACUUGAAAAUGUUGAAGGUCCAUCUACAAGCUUGAUGCAUAUGGAAACAUAAUCCUCGAGGAUAUGCAAUCUUAGAUAUGAUAUGCAAUCUUAUAAGAUAUGAUUUUGUAAUCUUAGAUAUUUAAUUUGUAGAUACCCUUUAAUCUUAGCCGUUGAUGUAAUUGACCUGUAGCGUUGGAUUUGGGGAGGAUCAACUAUAAAUAGGGGCCUCUCCUUCAUUGUAAAAACACUUAAGUUUGGAGCAAUAAUAAUUCUUAAGAACAUUCACUCAAAUUUCUCCCUCUCUUGCGUUCUUAUUUUCUAUGGCUUGUUCUUAAUUUGUUCUUCGUUCAUCUUCGUUUCUUUUUAAGUUGCUUUCAUUUGAGUUGGAUUUUGGUGGAGGAAUUUCGUUGAAUCUUCAUAUUGUGAGAGUUAGGCUGACUUAAACGUUUUUUUAACCUUUUUUAUUUAUCUAUUUAAUUGUUUAAUCAUUAAUUAUUCUUUUACUUUUAUUCGUUUAUUUUAUAUCUAUCAACUUUCUUAUUUACAUAUUGUUCAUUCAUUUAACCAUUCUUAUCUUUUUUUUUCUUCCAUUAAUUAUAUACUUUAUUUUUUUAAUAUUAUGUCACACAUGUUGUUUAUUUUUUAAAAACUCGUGUUAUAAAUUAUUCAUUUUAAAUUGUUUGAUUAUUUGCUUAAAUUUUUUUUCUCAUAUAUUAUCNNNNNNNNNNNNNNNNNNNNNNNNNNNNNNNNNNNNNNNNNNNNNNNNNNNNNNNNNNNNNNNNNNNNNNNNNNNNNNNNNNNNNNNNNNNNNNNNNNNNUUUAUUUUUAAACUCAUUUAUAUAUUAUUACUUUAUAUAUUACCUAUUUUCAUUUUUUAUAUAUUAUUUAUUCCAAACUUAUACAUAUAUUACCUACUUUUUUAUAUAUAUAAUUUAUUUAUUGAUUUGUAUAUUGUUGAUUUCAAAUUUCUUUUUCCCUUAUUAUUCAUUUUCAAAUUCAUUAUUUUUAAAUUUGUUUACAUUUUAUUUUGCCUUAUAUAUAUAUAUAUAUAUAUAUUAUUUUAUACUCUUUGUUUUAAAUUCAUUGGUCUAUGAUUAUUGAUGCUAGUAUUUAAAUAAUUGCCAUUAUGUGUUUUAUAAAUUAUUUUUUUGUAUUUUCAUAUUGCCUUUUUUAUCAAAGUUUUUACGCAUCGUUUUAAUAUUGCAUCAAUUUUUUCCAAUUUUAGAAAAGAAAACUUUUUGAAAUAAGGUAAUAUUUGAUACUUUGGAGCUUUGAGAAAAUCGUACCCUAACUUACUGGGUUUCAAUUUUUUUGAUCCAAAUAACCGAAUAUCCUUUUUAAACUUUAAUGCAUGAGACAAGCUUAGUUUCGAGGGUUAAAAUGUCGUAUCCUAACUUACUGGAUGUGACAUCUUAUUACUUUGGGACAAGGAGCUCUUAACAUCAAAUUCGAUUUAUUUAGUUUUUAAAGAGGAUCGUAUUUUAAAAUCUUUUCAAAUUUUCAACAUUAGGACAUUAAUUAAUCAAUUAGGUACUAAUUUUUGGGCAUUAUGAGGGUGCUAAUCCUUCCUCGUGCGUAACAGACUCCAUAGCCCAUUUUCUCAAAUUUUGUAGACCAAAAUCAUUAUUUUAAUAAAUCAAAAUGUUUUAUUAAAAUGAUUAAUCUCAAGGUGACCCGAUCACACCUCGAAAAAAGAUUGGUGGCGACUCCAUUUUCGUUUUAAAAGUUGACCCCGUUUUUCAAAAUAAAAAUGGUUUCGACACUCAUGGUCACUGCCUUCUUUUGCCAUUUGAGCUUCAGCCUUUGGUGUUGUGGUUGGUACUGCCUUGGUUUGCCUUUGCUUCUGCAAACCUUUUCAACAUGUCCCAUCUUUUUCCAGUGUUGGCACUGUACAUCUAGUCUAAACCAGUAAUUUGCUUCUGAAUGACCAAGUCUUUUGCAAUGCCUGCAGGGUUGGUCCCUUCUUCUUGUAGUAUCAAACUGUGGCUUGUCUUUCCAAGUCUUCUUGCCUUUGUAGGCAUUGUUGCUCAAGGAAAAAUUGGUUUUUCCUGGAAGGCACCUUCUUGGUGCUCCUCUAAUCUGCUGGCUCUUCUUUGCUCCUGUGCAUAGAAAGCAUUGAUCAGCUCUGUCAAUGUGAUGCUGGUUAGGUCCCUUGAGUCUUCGAGGGAUGAAAUUUUUGCCUUAUACCUCUCAGGCAAGGUUGAAAUCAUCUUCUCCACUAUCCUUGCUUCACUAAACUCCUCACCAAGGAGCCUCAUGCUGUUUACCACAGCCAUAAUUCUAUCUGAGUACUAUUUGACAGUUUCUUCUUCCUUCAUUUUCAAAUUCUCGAAGUCCCUUCUCAGGUUCAACAACUAUUGCUGCCUUGUCCUCUCUGUCCCUUGAAACUCCUCUUUUAACAUGUCCCAAGCCUGUUUUGGUGUCUCACAGGCCACGAUCCUUGUAAAGAUCACAUCUGACACUCAAUUUUGGAUGUAGGACAUGGCCUUGUACCUCUUAGUCCUUUCAUCAGCAUGCUGCCUGAUCUGAGCUAUUGUUGGAUUGGCUCUGAGUGGCUCUGGUUCAACAUCUGAGUUGACCACCUCCCACAAAUCGAAUGCCUGUAGGUAGGUCUACAUUUUGACCACCCAUAUGUGAUAGCUUUCUCUAUUGAAGAUUGGUGGUGCAGCUGGUGAGAAGCUUGAUGAGGCCAUUGUUAUAAGUAACAGGUCCCUUAAGAUUACAGCUCUAUAUACCAAUUGUUAGUGUUAACAACAAAGAAAAAACAAGUUGGUUGAGACUUGAGCAGCAAGGCUCGAUUUUUGCUGAAGAAAUAACAAAUUUUUCAAGACAGAAAAUUGAAAAAAAAAGCAAAGAACAAUGGACAAUAUUUGGAAAAAAAUUGAUUGAAUUCAUUCAAGUUGAAAAAUGGCAUAAUGCCAAUACAUAAUCAAGCACUAAGCUUGCCAAAAAUAGAAAGUGCUCACCUAAUCAACACCUACUACCACUAAUACAUUGAAACUUGAAAAAUAAAACUUGUAAACAUAGAUAAAGCUGAGUUUACAACUCAUUCACCUUAGACAAAAGUUACAAAAUGAACAAAAGAUCAUCGGCUGCACUUGCUCUAACAGCUUCUGCAUGGCUCGGCCUGCAUGUCUUGCUUCUUUAUUGCUCUUGGUGCUACAUGCUGACCAUACUUCAACAAUAUUCUUAAGGUGGCUUCAUAUGUGCAAUCUAAUUAGAAUAUUGCAGCUGAAGCCGCAAUUCAUUAAUUUGAAUCAAGUCAAUGCCAUUCGGAAGUCAUAGCGAAGAUGUUGCGAGAAUGGAUUAUUUUAAACUAUAGCAUAAAUACUUGAGUCUCAAAAUAAGCACUAGCUCAAUAAAACGCAUAUGAUAAUUUAGAAUACUGUAAUAAAACACAUAUUGAUAAUUCAGAUAUUAUAUUAAACAUUUUUAAACAUAUAUGAGACAAUUGUGGUAAAGCUGGCUAUGGAAAUUCUAUGGUAUCGGAUCCACUACUGCACAGGCCGUAAAAUAAGCUAGAACAAUUUUGGGGAGUUCCAAAGUUAUGGGAUGGACUCGGUCUUCCAUAACAGAUAAACAUCUCCUCGAGUAGUAGAACUCUAGUUCUUCUGUGUUUACUGCAUGAAAUUUGUGGAGAUGCUCUUAUAAGUCGGACAACUAUGUCCGCAACUUAUCGGACCGUAUAGGUGGAUCCACGUGUGUGUCCCAUAGCUAAAUCCCAAAAUUCAAUAAAACAAAUAAGAGACAAUAAAGUAUAUUAAACACAAAUAGGAAUGUGAAGGGAAAAUAAAUACAAUUUAUUCGAUAUACCUGAAUUUAAAUUUGUCCUAAGUUGUAUGGCCAAUUGGAAGUAUGGCAGAGGAUGAUGUGCAAAGUCGAAACAUGUUCCAUAUUUCAUCCAUUCCUUGAACCAAAACCCAAUGUCUGACCCUGUCGAUGCCAAGUUCGGCCAUAGUGUGGGCAAUUGGUUCCAAAGAGCUACAUCCCUUAUCAACAAUUGCUUUUAAAUAAGAAACAAAAAAAUUGAUUAGAUUACAGAUAAAUUACUUAAUAGUUUCAAGCGAAGAAUGUACAUAUGCGUACUUGGAGUGGUGGCCGGGUUAGAAUAGGUUGUGGAUGGCUGCAAGGCUUCCUUCCAUUGUAUGGGGGCCCAGCAUGUCAUGAGCGUCCUGCGCCCAAAUUCCAUGUAUUUUGAAUUCGGUUGGGAUUGGGAGUUUACAGUUGAGAGUAGAGCUACAAACAGAGGGAGGCCACUGAAAUGCCAACUUAUAGAAGUCUACCACUGGAAUUACUGGCGGCUGGGGUACAAGAAUAUAAUAUGUGAGAAGGUGGAGAUGAUCAAAUCUUUCAGCAGGGAUGUCGUCAAGGAGGCUAGUAGGAGUUUUGGCUCUCUAAUGGUAAAAUCUUUAAAAUAGAAUUGUACGUUCUUCAAAGUUGUAUUUGUCCGCUCGGACACAUAAAAACCAAUAUAAUGUGGUGGAGUUUAUUCGAGCAGCUCGUCAUGUUAUGUUUGGAUAAUUCCAUAUAUGUAUGGGUCACCUUUUCCUUUUAUUUUUCCAUGUAAAAAACAAAAGAAAAGAAAGCACUCUCUCCUUCUUAUUAAUAACAUUUUAUACUUAUUAAAUACAUUGGGCAAUCGUGGAAAAGCUACAUAGGGAAACUUAUGAUAUCUGAUAGGCUAUUACAUUGGCCAUGAUAUAAAUGGGAACAGUUUUUAAGUGUUCCAAGGAGAUGAGAUGCUGUCGGUCUUUCAUAACAUAUAUACAUCUCCGAGAGUAAUAAUUGUCUAUUGUUUGUUCUAUUUCUAUUACACGAAAUUUGGGGAUAUGCGUGUAUAAGCUGAAAAACUGCAUUCACAGCUUGUUGGACCGUAUAGGUGGAUCCACGUGUGAGUCCCAUAGCUAAAUCCCAAAAUUCAUUAAAACAAAUAAGAGACAAUAAAGUAUAUUAAACACAAAUAGGAAUGUGAAGGGAAAAUAAAAACAAUUUAUUCGAUAUACCUGAAUUUAAAUUUGUCCUAAGUUGUAUGGCCGAUUGGAAGUAUGACAGAGGAUCUUGUGCUUUGUCGAAACAUGUGCCAUGUUUCCUCCAUUCCUUGAACCAAAAUUUAAUGAUUGACUCUCCCAAUUUCAAGUUCGGCCAUUGUGAGCGCAAGUUGUUCCAAAGUGCUGCAUCCCUUAUUAACAAUUGCAUUUAAAUAAGAAACAAAAAAAUUUAUUAGAUUAUAGAUAAAUUACUUAAUAGUUUCAGGCGAAGAAUAUACGUAUGCAUACUCUGCGAGCUAAUUGUGAUGUCAUAGGUUGUGGAUUGGUGCAGCGAUGAUUUGUACCAUAUGGGGGCACCGGCCUGUCAUGAGCAUCUUGUGCCCAAAUUCCAUGUAUUUUGAAUUCAGUUGGGAUUGGGAGUUUACAGUUGAGAGUAGAGCUACAAACAGAUGGAGGCCAUUGAAGUGCCAGCUUGUAGAAGUCCGGAAUUGCUGGUUGCUGGGGUACUGCAAAUGCUACCCAUAAUGAAAAAUUGAUACAAUGCAUUUUUACAAAUUUACAAAUAAAAAGAGAACUACUCCAUAUAAAAAUAUUACAUGCAUGGAUGGUUGGGCUGAGAUUGGAUGAUUGUGCUUUGCGAGUAGCUGGUUUAUGAUCUCCUUUAUAAGCUUGGCACACAUAUUUCGCAAAAUUUUCAAAGUCCUGCAACCAUGAAAUAAAUAUUGAAGUUACUUAUCCCAAAGUGUUACUUCACAAUCACACCAAGAGAGAAAUAAACAAACUCACUUGUCUGAGUGGCUGAUUAUUCACCACCACCCAUGGCACAUAUUCUUGAGGUGGCUUCAUAUGUGCAGUCUCAUUAGAAUAUUGCAGCUGAAGCCGCAAUUCAUUAAUUUGGAAAUUCAAUGUUAGAAAAAGCAAAGGAGAGUUAAUUAAAUACUAAGACAUGCAGCCAACCUUAUAUCCGAAUCCAGUAGUAUAGCUGAUGAAGUUGUUCAGUAUGCGGCAAACACUCAACAGCAAGCAGGCCAUGAAGACCAAGUAGUGCAGGAGCUGCUGCAAUAAGUUAUUUUUGCUUAUUUUGUAAACUUUAGUUAAAGAAAUGAGUCUUAGUUCAUUUCUAACUAAGUUAAGUCUUUGAUUGAUGUAGUUAGCUUAUGUAUGAGCUGUAAACACAGCAUUGUAUAUGUUUACAAGCUAAAAUUCCAAGUUUCCAUGUAAUUAGUGGAGGUAGGUAAUGAUUAGGUGCUUACUUGCUGAUUUUGACAAGCUUUAUGCCAUUUUUUUUCUCAUGAAUGAAUUAAGUUUUGUUCAUCAAAUACUCUCCAUUUUUCUAAGCUUUUCUUCUUCUUUCUUUUGCUCGAUUUCAUUUGUUUGCUCAACAAGCAUCAAAGCUUGUUGCACAAGACACUUGCCGAGUCUGUUAUUACUGUUAGUGCACCAACAAUUGGUAUCUAGAGCCUACUUCUUAAGGGAUCUGUUAUACAAAUCCAUGGCUUCAUCAAGCUUUUCACCAGCUGCACCUCAAGUCUUCAAUGGAGAAGGCUAUCACAUAUGGGUGGUCAAAAUGAAGACCUACCUGCAGGCUUACGAUCUGUGGGAGGUGGUCAACUCAGAUGUUGAACCAGAGCCACUUAGAGACAAUCCAACAGUGGCUCAGAUCAGGCAGCAUGCUGAUGAGAGGACCAAGAGGUACAAAGCCAUGUCUUGCAUCCAGAACUCAGUGUCUGAUGUGAUUUUCACAAGGAUUAUGGCCUGUGAAUCACCAAAACAGGCCUGGGACAAGUUGCAGGAAGAAUUUCAAGGGACAGAGAGGACAAGGCAGCAACAAUUGUUGAACUUGAGGAGAGAUUUCGAGAAUUUGAAGAUGAAGGAAGAAGAAACUGUCAAGCAAUAUUCUGACAGGAUUAUGGCUAUGGUUAACAGCAUCAGGCUCCUUGGAGAGCAGUUCAAUAAAGCUAGGAUAGUGGAGAAGGUUAUAGCAACUCUGCCUGAGAGGUAUGAGGCAAAAAUCUCAUCUCUUGAGGACUCAAGGGACCUGUCCACCAUCUCCCUAACAGAGUUGAUCAAUGCUCUAUAUGCUCAAGAGCAGAGGAGAGCAAGCAGACUGGAGGAGCACCAGGAAGGUGCCUUUCAGGCAAGAACAAAUACUGCCUACAAAGGCAAGAAGGCCUGGAGAGACAAACCAAAGAAUGAUGCUGCAAGGAGAGAAGGUCAGACUUGCAAGCACUGCAGAAGGGUUGGUCAUCCAGAAGAAAAGUGCUGGUUUAAUCCAGAUGCUGUAUGUCAGCAUUGUAAGAAGAAGGGUCAUGUUGAGAGAGUCUGCAAGAGCAAGACCAAAUCGAGGCAGAAUCAGUUUCAACAGAUGAAAGCUGAGGCUCGAAUAGCUAAGGAGGACAGUGACCAAGAGGAGCAAGUCUUUGCUGUGUCAUGCUCAGCUGCUCAGGAAAGGUUCUCAUCUGGUUGGCUCCUAGACAGUGGAUGCACCAACCACAUGACACUUGAUGCUGCAAUCUUCAAGUCUUUAGACAGAAGCUGCAGAACUAAGGUCAAAAUAGGAAAUGGUCAUUUUAUUCAAGCUGAAGGCAAGGGUGAUGUGCUGAUAUGCACCUCUACAGGUGCCAAAGUGAUUUCAAAUGUGCUCUUGGUGCCUGAAAUUGACAGAAACCUACUCAGCAUAGCUCAACUGCUGGAGAAAGGUUAUUCUGUUGUGUUUAAAGACCAUCAGUGCCAAAUUAGUGAUCCAAGUGGAUCCAAACUGAUGGCAGUCCCUAUGGCUGAUAAGAGCUUUGUAGUUGACUGGACUAAGGAGUCAGACAUUGCCUACAUUGCCACAUCAGAUGAAUCCAAGUUGUGGCAUCAAAGGCUGGGACAUGCCAACUUCAGAUCGAUGGCCCGAAUGGUCAGAGAAGACCUGGCUGAAAACUUCUUCAACUUAGUGGAUCAUGAUGAUGUAUGUGAAGUAUGUCAGCUAGGAAAGCAGGUCAGACUCCCAUUUCCCUCGAAUCAAGCCUGGAGAGCCUCUGAAAAACUCCAACUGGUGCACACUGAUGUGUGUGGCCCUAUGAAGACUGAGUCAUUAAGUGGAAACAGGUAUUUCAUACUGUUCAUUGAUGAUUUCUCGAGAUAUUGCUGGAUUUAUUUCUUAAAACAGAAAUCAGAGGUGGCCACUGUGUUUUGGAAGUUCAAAACUGCUGCUGAGACUGAAACAGGCUGCAAGAUGAAGACCAUAAGUCUGAUAAUGGGACUGAGUACACCUCAGCUCAGUUCCAAGCCUUCUGUGAUAAGGCAGGCAUCAAACACCACUUUACCAACACUUAUACACCUCAACAGAAUGGUGUAAGUGAAAGGAAGAAUAGGAGCUUGAUGGAUAUGGCCAGAUGCUUGAUGAUUCAGAAGAAUCUGCCUAAAGCACUAUGGGCAGAAGCAGUUAACACUGCAACAUACAUCCAAAAUAGACUUCCAACCAAGGCUUUGGAUCAGAAAACUCCAUUCAAGGCUUGGUUUGGCUUUAAGCCAUCACUGGCUCAUCUGAAGGUCUUUGGAUGCAUCUGUUAUACACAUGUAUCUACUGUUAAAAGGGACAAAUUGUCUGAAAGGGCUCGACCUGGUGUUCUGGUGGGCUAUAGUACUGUUAAGAAGGGCUAUAGGAUCUUGGAUCCUUCAACAAAGAAAGUGUCAGUCAGCAGAGAUGUGGUAUUUGAUGAAAAGUCAUGUUGGAACUGGGAGAGACAUGAACCUGAAGAAGUUUCUGAAGAACUUGCACCAGAUCAACCUGAGCCAGAUCAAAAUGUUCCUGAAAUGGACAUUGAUGAUGAACCAGUUAGAGGAACAAGACCAUUGACUGAGAUUUAUGAAAGGGCUCAUGUAGCUAUAGCUGAACCAAGCAAUUUUGAAGAGGCUGAAGCUCAGCAAGGGUGGAAGCAGGCAAUGGCUGAGGAGAUCAGCAUGAUUGAGAAGAACCAGACCUGGGAAUUGGUUGAAAGGCCAGUCAAAAGGAAGGUGAUUGGGGUGAAAUGGGUGUACAAAGCCAAGCAGAAUGCUGAUGGUACCUUAAACAAGUUGAAAGCAAGGCUAGUUGUCAAGGGAUUCAGUCAAAGGUAUGGGUUGGACUACCUGGAGACCUUUGCACCAGUGGCCAGGCUUGACACCAUCAGACUGCUGAUUGCCUUAGCAGCACAGCUCGAGUGGAAGAUCCAUCAGCUCGAUGUAAAAUCAGCCUUUCUGAAUGGUUUCCUAGAUGAAGACAUCUAUGUUGAACAACCACAAGGGUUUGAGAUAGCUGGCAGAGAGCAUAUGGUUUACAAAUUGAAGAAGGCCCUAUAUGGCUUAAAACAGGCUCCAAGGGCCUGGUACAGCAGAAUUGAUGGCUACUUGACUGAUCUGGGAUUCGAUCGAAGCAAGAGUGAGCCAACACUGUAUGUCAAGAAGCAAGGAACACAAACACAACUCAUUGUGUCCCUGUAUGUUGAUGACCUUCUAGUGACAGGAGGAGAUCGAGCAGUGCUGGUUGAUUUCAAGACCAAGAUGCAGGAAGUGUUUGAAAUGUCUGAUCUUGGGGAAAUGUCCUAUUUUCUUGGAAUGGAGGUGUCUCAAGCACAAAAUGAGAUAUUUCUAAGUCAGAGAAGCUUUGCCACAAAGAUUCUGACCAAGUUCUCCAUGCAAAACAACAAGGCAACUAAAACACCUGUUGCUGUUGGAGAAAAACUAUCGAGCCAAGGUGCUUUUGAGAAGGUAUGUGAAACAACCUACAGGAGUCUAGUUGGUUGUUUGCUAUACUUGACUGCCACUAGACCAGACAUCAUGUAUGCUGUAGGAUUGCUCUCAAGAUUCUUGCAUUGCUGCAAUGAGAAGCAUUUCCAAGCUGCAAAGAGAGUGUUGAGAUAUGUCAAGGGCACUUUGAACUAUGGUUUGAAGUACAGCAAAGAAGGAAAUUUGAAGCUGAUUGGGUACACAGAUAGUGACUGGGCUGGCUCAAUAGAUGACAUGAAAAGCACCUUAGGGUAUGCUUUUAACCUUGGUUCAGCCAUGUUUUGCUGGAGCUCGAAGAAGCAAAGCCUGGUGGCUCAAUCUACUGCUAAAGCAGAAUAUGUGGCAGCAGCAAGUGCUGUCAAUCAAGCUAUUUGGCUAAGGAAAGUCUUGGCCGAUUUGAAUUUGCAUCAAAAGGAAGCUACUGAGAUCUUCUGUGACAACCAAUCUGCUGUUGCAAUUGCUAAAAAUCUAGUGUUCCAUGGAAGAACAAAGCAUUUCAGCAUAAAGUUGCAUGUUGUUCGAGAAAUGGAGCAAGCACAAGAGGUGAAGCUGAUUCACUGCAAUUCAGAGGAUCAACUUGCUGACAUUCUGACUAAAGGUCUUAAUGUCACAAGGUUCGAGCAUUUAAGAGGAAAAUUAGGUGUUUGCACCAUACUAACCAAUCAGGAGUGAUGAAGUUGGUCAGUAUGCGGCAAACACUCAACAGCAAGCAGGCCAUGAAGACCAAGCAGUGCAGGAGCUGCUGCAACAAGUUAUUUUUGCUUAUUUUGUAAACUUUAGUUAAAGAAAUGAGUCUUAGUUCAUUUCUAACUAAGUUAAGUCUUUGAUUGAUGUAGUUAGCUUAUGUAUGAGCUGUAAACACAGCAUUGUAUAGGUUUACAAGCUAAAAUUCCAAGUUUCCAUGUAAUUAGUGGAGGUAGGUAAUGAUUAGGUGCUUACUUGCUGAUUUUGACAAGCUUUAUGCUUGUUUUAUGUAUUGGCUUGAUGCCAUUUUUUUUCUCAUGAAUGAAUUAAGUUUUGUUCAUCAAAUACUCUCCAUUUUUCUAAGCUUUUCUUCUUCUUUCUUUUGCUCGAUUUCAUUUGUUUGCUCAGCAAGCAUCAAAGCUUGUUGCACAAGACACUUGCCGAGUCUGUUAUUACUGUUAGUGCACCAACAAUAGCAUUUGUUGAUUAUCUCCUCAUUCAAUCUCAGCUUUUCACUACAAUAUUUCCACAGUGCUUCAAUGGGCGCCCCCUUUAAGCUUUGUUGCUCUGUGCAGCGAAUGAAUUCCAAGUGCUCUUUCUACACCACAGGAGAGUAAUUAAACACGAGUUGGAGAUGAGUACAAAUACUUAUGGCUGAUAGAAGUUACUGCAUCAGGCCAUAAAUGGAUGACACAACUAUGUAUAGUGUUUAAGUGACGUUCUUCUUCUCCAUGUUGCACAUUGUUGCAAAAACUAUAAUUAGUUAUAACACCGAAAAGAAAUUGAACUUCAUUAGUUAAUAAUGAUAAUAUAUACAUUAAAAUGAAGAAGGGUGUUGUAAACCUAGCAAUGGAUUUCAGCAUUGCCCCAAGGGACCAAUCUUAGAUUGAUAAUGCUAUGGAGGUCAGUGCGGAAGACCUUGAGUAGGCCAUUGGAGAUAAGCGAGAAUAUUGCAAGAGCAGCCAGAAUAUAGAAGAUUAAUGGUUGAAGAUAAGCCAUUGUUUCAGUGGUAGCUUUUGCACAAUGCUAAACCUCCAUUGUGCAAGGCUUCUUAUAGUUGAGAAUUGGGAUGAUGAGUAUUGCUUUCUGUCACUUUCAGAAACCAUGAGACAAAUUUACAAAGUUAUCAUCUUUAAAAAAAACAAUUAUUCACCACUUUAAAAAAAUUUAUUUACAUGAAAGAUUGCUUAUCUGUUUAUGUAUGAAUAUUGUCUAAACAUGAAAGGAGAAAUCUUAUUAGAUAAUAGAGUUUUAUAAUAAUUUAUAAUUUGAAUUAAGUUGGCCUUCUAAAAUGCUCUUAGACCAUUAUUAGUGAAUUAAAUAAAACUACUUGGCUCAUAUAAAUAAUUUGAACCAUCGUGCAGUGACACGAGACAAGAAUCUACUUAGUCUAAAUGAAUAUUAAUGGUAAAAAGCCAGUAUGUAAGUCCUUAUCAUAAUAAAGAUAAAAGAAAAUUACUUUGGCACCACCUCUCAUUAAUUCUUAAUAUUUGUGUGAAUGUUUAUUAAUCUUCACAAAGGAUGGACUUCUUUAAUUAUGAACAAUUCUAAGUGCUUGUCAAUUCUUAUUAUGAAGUCAUUCUUUAAUAUAAAUUAUAUAUUAGUCUUGAUAUGGCUUUUCUUUUCUGCAGUCAUCGUAUUAAGCGACUUCGAGGAAAACGAUGAUGGAAGAGAGUGAUGAUGAUAAUAAUCCACCACAAUCAAGUAUUGACUUGAAUAAUAUAAUUCAAUUUCAAUGACUUAAUUAAAUUAUACAAAUCUCAUAUUGCUAAACUGAAUUUUUGAGAUUCUCUAUAAGUCAUUAUACUUCAUUAAGUUAAUAAAAAUUAAGUUUAGACCUUGAACUUGUGGCCUACAAGGCUAAUGCAAUUUACAUCCAAGUCUUUUUGUUUUUAAAACUUCUUAACCUGUAAAAAUAUUUUAAUCGACUGAAGCUAUUUUCAGUUAAGUUCGUAUUAAUCUUUUUCAAACUAUUUUUAGCUAAUUCAAUCAACUUACCUUUGCUAUAUUUAACCAGUGAAAUUUUUAUAAAUACACCUUCAAAAUUACCAAUUUAUUCUUUACAUUCUCUUUCAAACACUCCUUGUUUACUCAAAAGCUUUCUUCUAUAAUUUUAGCCGAAUAUUUAUUUGGUUUGUUUUUCCUACUGAUUAAUAGAAUUGUUUGUUGAAUUAUGAAAUAUUUGUAAAGACAAUGAUAUUCACACCUCAAACAAUAAUUCUAAUAUUCUAAACCUCCUAUUUCUAACCAUUCCAAGGAUAAAAAUUAGAUAUAAAUGAUUUUCUCCUUUUAUUGUGUUGAAUUUAAUUACAGAACAAAUUUAAAGGAAAAUGAGUCGGGUGUUCAAAUUCUUUUAAUUUAUUUUAAGACUAAUCAUGUUUGAAGAGGCAUGAAUAUUUUUCCCAAAUUUCAAGAAUUUGAUUUGAAAAUUACAAUAAUUAGUUCGCAAAAAGGUAUGAAGUGAAUAAGAUAUAGAUAUAAUGACCCUAAUGUUUUUUUUUUCAUUUUUAUUAUAUAUUUUUAUUAUUUUCAAAUUUCAAAUUUUAAUCAAAUUGUUAUUUUUUUAUAAAAAAAUUAUCUAAAUUGUUAAAAUUUGAAUGAUGUUGAUGUUGUGACCUAGGUGAUACUCCACUUAUACUUCAACGUUGAUGCGAUUUUUUAAAAAAAAUUGAACUUUUAAUGUUUUAUGUAUUUUUUAUUUUUUUAUACAGUACAUGUAUAUUAUCAUAUAGGUUAUAACAUCAUUUUUUUUAUGAAAUACAUGUGUAUUAUCAUACCGUAUUCAACAGACUGUCAUUCAAGUGGCCAUCCGAGUUUCCUACUUUUCAUCAUAUGAUGAUCCCUACGAAAUUAGCCCUUUAACUGUUACUUUUUCAAUAAUUUCGCUUUCAAGAGAAAUAGUAUUGACAGACAUAUCUGUCACUUAGUUCAUCCUUUCUAGUACCUCUUACCGUCAAAGGGAUUCUAACUAACUCUUCUUUACCGAUUUGUCUGUAGCUUUUCUUUACAAAUCAAUCCUUCCCACACGACAAACCUUGUCUUCUUUAGUUAUGAACAAAUCUAAUUACUUGCAAACUCAAUGGGUCAUACUUUAUUACUAAAACAUUUCUAGCUCCUUUUUUUAUUAAGUCAUUCUUUAAUAUAAAUUAUAUAUGGCUUUUCUUUAUUCGAUUUCUUGUGGGAAAACGAUGAAGAAAUCAGCAACUCUAGUGGAAGAGAGUAAUGAUAGUAAUUCAUCAGUGUUGAAUUGAAUUUAAAUCAAUUAAUUAACUCAUAGGUAGAAUUCGAAUCUAAAGGUUUAAGAUUCAAAAAUCUUUUUCUUUUUAAUUAAAAAUUUUUAAAAUCUUAACUUAUUAUCAAUAAUGUCUAGAUUUUGUUUACAUGUUAAUUUUCCUAGAUCACAUUUUAAAUAAAUUGUUGAAAUCUUAAUAUUUUAAAUUUUUAAGAUAAUAAGAUUGGGUUUAAUAUAGCAUAGAAAUCUCUUCAUCUUUUAGAAUGUUACUUGGUCAGCUUUUGAAAUCGUCAAAGUUUCUCUUAGUUAGGCACAACAGUUUGAAUCGAGUCAGAGCAUUUAUAAGGCCAAUCUUCCAAAUUUAUGCUACCAAAAGCACACUGAAGGAAUGUGGGUUCAUCUUUUUUCCAAUGUUGCAGUGGAGCGAGCCAUUGGGAAUGCUUUUGCUGGAGGAGCGAUACGCGAUCAGAUCGGUAAUUGGAUAUUCGGAUAUAAUCGAUACAUGGGCAGCUAUACUCCUUUUGAGGCGGAACUCUAGGGUAUUUUAGAUGGGGUCCUCAUUCUGUUAAAUAAAGGAUACAAAUGGGUCACAAUUUAAAUAAACAAUUCAGAUGUGGUCCAUCACAGUUCUUGAAGGGUUCAAAGGGUUAUGCGUUUUGAAGGACAGUGGCAAAUAAGAGUUAUGUCUAAAGAAACAAACUUAAUUGCGGACCGAUUGACUAAGCUUUUUCCUUGCAUAGAAGUCAAGCUUACAAAUUUUCGAUGUACCUCCUAAUGAGGUAUUGGAGACUCUUCAACAAAAUAAAGCUUGUGGUGCUUUUGAACAAUUGAUUUGAUAUGAUUUUGUUUUACUUUCACCAAAAAAUACAAAUUAUAACAAAAAAAAAUAGUAUAGAUAUAUAAUCAUAAAUUUUAUAAAACAUAACUUCUCAAAGAGGCAUAGCACAUUAACUACAAAGGUAGCCUACUGGUGAUAAAAUCUUCCAGUUAAACAGAUGAACUCCAAAUUUAUCAUAUGACAAUAAAUGAAAAAGAAAGGUGGAACAAGCCAAAACAAGCAGAUCUUUUAAGCAAAAAGAGCACAAACAAACAAACAAACAAAAAUUCCUUCUUUUCUUAUGUUUAGUCGUGUCGUCUUUGUAAGGAAUAAAAAGGUGGCAAGAUGUCUUUAUUCCCAGGCUCGUAAACUCGCUCCUAGUUCUUCUUCCAUUUUCGUCCAUCAGGUAAGUGAUAAAGUACAAUUUUACUUUUACUGAUUUAAAAUUUUUGAACAACCUAAAUGAAUAAUUUUUUAUUUUAAAGGGGAGCUGGGCCCUGCUAGUCUCCCCUAAUUACACCACUGAAGGUGGACUUGUGCGAUGAGCCGAAAGGUUAGCCUAAUAUAGCUUCGAGUUUUUUAUUUUUUUGAAAUUAUUUUUUACUAAAUUUUUUAGAAUUUAUGAAAAGUUGCCUUGUUAACCUACAUCAACUAUACUUAGUCAAACUAAAAAUAACUAAACCACUUAAAGCCAUUUUUAAUUACGUCUGAAUUCAUUGAAUCAUUUUUAAAUUAUAUUUAAUUAGUUCAAUCAACUUACCUUUUCAAAUUAUAAUACUAGGAAUGUUCCAUCUCAUGUUGUGGCAUCUCAAAAAAUAGCAUCUCCACAGCCAUGAGACAAGAAUCUACUUAAUCUAAAUGUUGAAUUAAUUUAUUUUGGUUAAACGUCGAUCAAUGGGGCUGACGUUUGGCCCCCUUUUGGUUCAGCUUUUAGGUACAAACUAAAUAAAUAAGAAAGACUAAAAAAGAUAAAGAACAAAUUUCUUGGAGCUUUCCUCUGACAAAUAUUUUAAUUAUGAAUGGCAUUCUAUUGUGCUAAUUACAGUUUAAUUUCGGUCCUUAAAAAAAGUUUUUUUUUUAAUUUCCUCUUUGUGAAAUUCCUUGGACAAGUAUUUUCAUAUGAAUGGCAUUAUAGUCCUUUUAUUCUAUUGUGCUAAUCACUUGGUUUCUUUGGGUUAUGGGAUUAUAAACCUUUCGUCUUCAUUAAUUAUAAACAAUUCUAAGUGCUUGCCUAUUAUUAUUAUGAAGUCAUUCUUUAAUAUAAGUUAGAUAUUAGUCUUGUUGGUUCUCAAUUGUUGAAGGGUUCAAUAUCAUUUCUACUCUCCUUUUCUGCUGUCAUCAUAUCAAGCGAUUUCCCAGGGAAAACGAUGAAGAAAUAGUGGAUAAUUGAUGAAAGAGAGUAAUGAUAAUAAUUCAUCAUAAUCAAAUCUUUACGACUAUUGAAUUGAAUAAUAUAAUUAAAUUUAAAUCAAUUAAUUAAUUCACACAUUUAUUUUAUAAAGUAGAACUUAGAACUUUAAUGUUCAAUAUUCGAAAUUAUUUUAAUAAAUCUUUUCUAAAAUCUUAACCUCAAGAUUUUAUUGACAUUUCAAUUGUCAAUUGUAACCUUAAUGCUUAUGCAUUUUAAAAAUUAUACAAAUCUCACAUUGUUAAAGAAAGAUUUUGAAAUUCUUGUUUAUAAGCAGGAAAAAUUAAGUUUAGACGGUCUUGUGACUUGUGCAUUGAGCCACCAAGCCGAUGCAAUUUACAUCCAUAGUCUUUUUGUUUUUCAAAUUAUUUUUUUACUCAAUUUUUGAGAGUUAAAAGAGAAGUUAACUUCUUAACUUGUAAGAUCUAUAUUUAGUCAAAUUAAAACUAACUUAAUCAAUUAAAGUUAUUUUUAGUUAAAUACAGAUUCAUUUUGAAGAUCAACAGAGAUUGGUGUUUGAGUGAAACAUGGAUGACAAGGGGAGAAUAGAGCAAUAGGAGAAAUAAUGAUAUUGACUUGUUGUAGAUUGUAUUGGAACAGCUAGUACCAUAAUUAGGGGACCCAAAAAAUUUUAAAUUUUGAGUUAAUUGAAUCAAGUUAUUCAGUUUUUUUAGCCAACUCGAAUAAGUAAUUUGAGUUUUGAGUUCGAGUCGAGUUAUAUUUUACAAUUUGAAUAAUAGAUUGGUGUAAAUACACCUUUACUCCCUGUCAAUUUUAAAAAUAAGCAAAAUGAUUUCUCUCAAAAAAAAAAAAAUCAAACUUGUUUAAAGUAUUGUGAUAAGGGGAGUAGUUUCACAUGGAUGAACACACAUUUUCAUUCUGUUAUAGACCGAAGAAACCUGAAGAAGAUCAUGUGGCACUUGAUACUAGCAUACUUGUUACCACAACUAGUUUAGAUUUUGUGAAAAAGAGGGAGCACUGUGUGCUAUUGCUAUUGCAAUUCUACUGUUGCAAUUUUGCUACUACAAUUUAGGGAGACUUAUUUUUAUCAACAAAAAUGUGACAAGGUUAUCUCGAUUUAAAAAUGCUUUAUUCUCAUAAAAACGUAAGUAUGAACAAACAUAAAAUAUAUUAAUCGAUCAUGAUUGUCCACACAUGAAAGGAGAAAUCUUAGUACAUAAUAUUUUUUACUUGUUAUCUUAUUACAUAAUAAAGUUGUAAAGAAUUUAAACUAUAGUAAUUUAUAAUUUAAAUUAAAUUAAUAAAUUAUAAUUUAUUAAAGUAUUUACUGAAUCAUUAGCCUUCUAAAAUUUUCUUUGACCAUUAUUAGUGAAUUAAAUAAACCUAAUUGACUCAUAUAAAUAAUUUGAACCAUCGUGCACUGCCAUGAGACAUGAAUUACUUUCUAGUUAGUCUAAAUGUUGUAUUAAUUUCUUUUAACUUUUGGUUGAGCUUUCGGGUACAAACUAAAUAAAUAAGAAAGACUACAAAAAUAUAAAGAGAUGUCCUCUUUGCAGUGGCGUAGGUUGGGGUUAGCAAGGCACGGCUCUCUUAAAAUAGAAAAUUCCUAUUACAUCUUACACAUUUAUGUUCUCCCUCUCCAUCCAUCUUCAUAUUCAAUAUUCAUUUCAUGCAUAUCCUUCUUCAUAUUCAGUAUUCAUUUGAUGCAUUUCUCGUUGGUUGACAUAUUACAUAUUUCUCAACUUCUUGUAUUCCAUUGAUACGAACCAGGCUCUCUAAAUAAGAAUGAAGGGAGAUGGCGAAACGAAGAUGAUCUAGAUCAGUAUUAAUCUCAAGCUUCUUAAGCUCUUGGGUGGAGGCGUCAAAUAGGAGUACUUCAUCAUUUGUGUCUCUAAGAAACAAGUCACUAUUUUUUCCAAAUCCCAUUAAUGGGUGUACAACUCCAGAAAUGGAUUUAAUAUUGAAUUGUUUAGUCCACACUCCUUCACUUGUAACCCAUAAAUCACAAGACGUGUCAAUUCUUUCCGUUGGGUAAACAAUAGCACCAAGUGAUCCAUUAAACACCAAUAGAUCAACAUAGUAUUCUGGGAAAGACCCAACGAAUUCUGGGAUAGGUAAAACUGAGAACUUGUCAUUCCUCAUGUCAAAUGAAAGAAUUAGUCCUCUAAAAUCAAGAUAUGCCCCUGUCUCUGUUUUCCAAUAGCAAAUUCCGUCUACAUAAUUAUUUCCCAAAGUUUUUCCAUUUGGAUUAUAAUCAGGAUAUGGAAUUUCCUUCCAGGAAUUACUUCUAAGAGAAUACAACUCAACUUGGUAUAUAAAAUCAGGAUGUGCAUAUUCUUCUUCACUAUUAACAAAAGUAAGAGUAACGAAUCGUAUGAAUUUGUAGUCAUCAGUUUUAGAAUCAAAGCCAAAAGCAGCGUGGUCAAAAGAAACGCCGUCUAAAGUAAGGUAGGUUUCUUCGAAUGGGGAAAAAUAUGGAGGGCGUUGGAUUGAAGAUGGUGGAAGGAUUUUAAACUCUCUAUUUGAUGGGUUCCAAAUGGCAGCCUUAUCCUUUGAAGGAUCAAAUAAACACAAUAAUCCAUGACAAGCACCAUAAAUAGAGGGGAUAUCAUUCCUAAAAAAGGGCAAGUGAAUGUUUUGUUUUACCAUAUAAUUUUGAUAUUUUUCAUUUGAAAGUUGAGAGAAAUAAAGUUGGAAGGUGUUACCAUCACAGCGACUAAGAAGUAGAUUAAGGUGGUUGUUUUCAAGGUUGUUGUGAUAAUUAUUGGAAAUGAAAUGAGGAGUUUGAAAAGAAGAACACCAAUACUUACAAACAUAAAUACUUGAGUCUCAAAAUAAGCACUAGCUCAAUAAAACACAUAUGAUAAUUUAGAUUACUGUAAUAAAACACAUAUUGAUAAUCCAGAUAUUACAUUAACAUUUUUAAACAUAUAUGAGACAAUUGUGGCAAAGCUAGCUAUGGAAAUUCUAUGGUAUUGGAUCCACUAUUGCACGGGCUGUAAAAUAAGUUGGAACAAUUUUGAGGCCUUCCAAAGGUACCGGAUGGCCCCGGUCUUCCAUAACAGAUAAACAACUCCUUGAGUAGUAGAACAUUAGUUCUUUGGUGUUUACUACAUGAGAUUUGCGGAGAUGCUCCUAUAAGUUGGAAAACUAUAUCCGCAACUUGUCGGACCGUAUAGGUAGAUCUACGUGUGAGUCCCAUAGCUAAAUCCCAAAAUUCAUUAAAACAAAUAAGAGACAAUAAAGUAUAUUAAACACAAAUAGGAAUGUGAAGGGAAAAUAAAAACAAUUUAUGCGAUAUACCUGAAUUUAAAUUUGUCCUAAGUUGUAUGGCCGAUUGGAAGUAUGACAGAGGAUGUUGUGCAAAGUCGGAAUAUGUGCCAUGUUCCAUCCAUUCGUGGAACCAAAAUUUAAUGUUUGGCUCUCCCAAAUUCAAGUUCGGCCAUUGUGAGCGCAAGUUGUUCCAAAGUGCUGCAUCCCUUAUUAACAAUUGCUUUUAAAUAAGAAACAAAAAAUUUUAUUAGAUUAUAGAUAAAUUACUUAAUAGUUUCAGGCGAAGAAUGUACGUAUGCAUACUCUGAGAGCUAAUUGUGAUGUCAUAGGUUGUGGAUUGGUGCAGCGAUGAUUUGUAUCAUAUGGGGGCACCGGCCUGUCAUGAGCAUCUUGUGCCCAAAUUCCAUGUAUUUUGAAUUCAGUUGGGAUUGGGAGUUUACAGUUGAGAGUAGAGCUACAAACAGAUGGAGGCCAUUGAAGUGCCAGCUUGUAGAAGUCCGGAAUUGCUGGUUGCUGGGGUACUGCAAAUGCUACCCAUAAUGAAAAAUUGAUACAAUGCAUUUUUACAAAUUUACAAAUAAAAAGAAAACUACAUUUAUAAAUAUUACAUGCAUGGAUGGUUGGGCUGAGAUUGGAUGAUUGUGCUUUGCGAGUAGCUGGUUUAUGAUCUCCUUUAUAAGCUUGGCACACAUAUUUCACAAAAUUUUCAAAGUCCUGCAACCAUGAAAUAAAUAUUGAAGUUACUUAUCCCAAAGUGUUACUUCACAAUCACACCAAGAGAGAAAUAAACAAACUCACUUGUCUGAGUGGCUGAUUAUUCACCACCACCCAUGGCACAUAUUCUUGAGGUGGCUUCAUAUGUGCAGUCACAUUAGAAUAUUGCAGCUGAAGCCGCAAUUCAUUAAUUUGGAAAUUCAAUGUUAGAAAAAGCAAAGGAGAGUUAAUUAAAUACUAAGACAUGCAGCCAACCUUAUAUCCGAAUCCAGUAGUAUAGCAUUUGUUGAUUAUCUCCUCAUUCAAUCUCAGCUUUUCACUACAAUAUUUCCACAGUGCUUCAAUGGGCGCCUCCUUUAAGCUUUGUUGCUCUGUGCAGCGAAUGAAUUCCAAGUGCUCUUUCUACACCACAGGAGAGUAAUUAAACAAGAGUUGGAGAUGAGAACAAAUACUUAUGGCUAAUAGAAGUUACUGCAUCAGGCCAUAAAUGGAUGACAACUAUGUAUAGUGUUUAAGUGACGUUCUUCUUCUCCAUGUUGCACAUUGUUGCAAAAACUAUAAUUAGUUAUAACACCAAAAAGAAAUUGAACUUCAUUAGUUAAUAAUGAUAAUACAUUAAAAUGAAGAACGGAGUUGUAAACCUGGCAAUGGAUUUCAGCAUUGCCCCAAGGGACCAAUCUUAGAUUGGUAAUGGUAUGGAGGUCAGUGCGGAAGACCUUGAGUAGGCCAUUGGAGAUAAGCGAGAAUAUUGCAAGAGCAGCCAGAAUAUAGAAGAUUAAUGGUUGAAGAUAAGCCAUUGUUUCAGUGGUAGCUUUUGAACAAUGCUAGACGUCAAUUGUGCAAGGCUUCUUAUAGUUGAGAAUUGGGAUGAUGAAUAUUGCUUUCUGUCACUUUCAGAAACCAUGAGACAAAUUUACAAAGUUAUCAUCUUUAAAAAACAAUUAUACACCACUUUAAAAAAAAAUUAUUUACAUGAAAGAUUGUUUAUCUAUUUAUGUAUGAAUAUUGUCUAAACAUGAAAGGAGAAGUCUUAUUAGAUAACAGAGUUUUAUAAUUGAAAUUAAGUUGGCCUUCUAAAAUGCUCUUAGACCAUUAUUAGUGAAUUAAAUAAACCUACUUGGCUCAUAUAAAUAAUUUGAACCAUCGUGCAGUACCAUGAGACAAGAAUCUACUUAGUCUAAAUGUUGUAUUAAUUAACCAUUAAUGAAUAUUAAUGGUAAAAAGUCAGUAUGUAAGUCCUUGUCAUAAUAAAGAUAAAAGAAAAUUACUUUGGCACCACCUCUCAUUAAUUCAUAAUAUUUGUGUGAAUGUUUAUUAAUCUUCACAAAGGAUGGACUUCUUUAAUUAUGAACAAUUCUAAGUGCUUGUCAAUUCUUAUUAUGAAGUCAUUCUUUAAUAUAAAUUAUAUAUUAGUCUUCAUAUAGCUUUUCUUUUCUGCAGUCAUCGUAUUAAGCGACUUCGAGGAAAACGAUGAAGAAACAGUGGAUACUUGAUGGAAGAGAGUAAUGAUAAUAAUCCACCACAUUCAAGUCUUGAAUUGAAUAAUAUAAUUCAAUUAUACAAAUCUCAUAUUGUUAAAGUGAAUUUUUGAGAUUCUUGUCUAUAAGUCAUUAUACUUCAUUAAGUUAAUAAAAAUUAAGUUUAGACCGUGAACUUGUGGCCUACAAGGCUAAUGCAAUUUACAUCCAAGUCCUUUUUGUUUUUAAAAUUAUUUUUUACUGAAUCUUUUAGAAAACUUCUUAACCUGUAAAAGUAUUUUAAUCGACUGAAGCUAUUUUCAGUUAAGUUCAUAUUAACCUUUUUCAAACUGUUUUUAGCUAAUUCAAUUAACUUACUUUUGUUAUGGUUAACCAGUGAAAUUUUUAUAAAUACACCUUCAAAAUUCCCAAUUUAUUCUUUACAUUCUCUUUCAGACACUCCUUGUUUCCUCAAAAGCUUUCUUCUACAAUUUUAGCCGAGUAUUUAUUUGGUUUGUUUUUCCUACCGAUUAAUAGAAUUGUUUGUUGAAGUCACGAAAUAUUUGUAAGGACAAUGAUAUUCACACUUCAAACAGUAAUUCUAAUAUUCUAAACCUCCUAUUUCUAACCAUUCCAAGGAUAAAAAUUAGAUAUAAAUGAUUUUCUCCUUUUAUUAUGUUGAAUUUAAUUACAGAACAAAUUUAAAGGAAAAUGAGUCGGGUGUUCAAAUUCUUUUAAUUUAUUUUAAGACUAAUCAUGUUUGAAGAGGCAUGAAUAUUUUUCCCAAAUUUCAAGACUUUGAUUUGAAAAUUACAAGAACUAGUUCGCAAAAAGGUAUGAAGUGAAUAAAACAUAGAUAUAAUGACCCUAAUGUUUUUUUUUCAUUUUUAUUAUAUAUUUUUAUUAUUUUCAAUCUUCAAAUUCUAAUCAAAUUAUUAUUUUUUAUAAAAAAUUAUCUAGAUUGCUAAAAUUUUAAUAAUGUUGAUGUUGUGACCUAGGUGACACUCCACUUAUACUUCAACGUUGAUGCGAUUUAAAAAAAAAAUUGAACUUUUAAUAUUUUAUGUAUUUUUUUUUUUGUAAAGUACAUAUUGUUGACACCAUUUUUUUGGAUGGAAAACGGGGUCGACUUGGGUUUUAAAAAAUGAAACGAAAACGGGAGUCGUCACCAAUCCUUUUUUAUAAGGUGUGACUGGAUCACCUCGAAAAGUGGUUAUUUUUAAUAAAAGGUUUGAUUUUAUUAAAACAACAAGUUUGGUCCACGAAAUUCAGAAAAAACGGGUUCGGGAGUCGGUUACGCACGAGGAAGGAUUAGCACCCUCGAUACGCCCAAAAUUGGUACCUAGUUGAUCACUCAAGGUCUGCAUGUCGGAAAUUGAAAACUUUAAAGAAAUUUAAAAUACGAUCCUUAAAAAAACUUGAAUGGCAUGGAUUAAAAUUUAAGAGGAUAUUUGGCAAUUUGGUUAAACGAGAAAUCGAAACCCAGCACAUUAGGGCACGUUCCUCGAAUUUCCGAAGGCAAAACAUUGCCUUAUUUUGAAAUAUAUAUAUAUUUUAAAAAGGAUAUUAAGCCAUUUGGUUGAACGAGAAAAAUCAACACCCAGCACCUUAGGGCGUGUUUUCUCGAAUUUCCAAACGCAAAACAUUGCCAUAUUUUGAAAUUUUUUAAAGGAUAUUAAGCCAUUUGGUUGAAUGAGAAAAUCGACACCCAGCACCUUAGGGCGUGUUUUUCUCGAAUUUCCAAACGCAAAACAUUGCCUUAUUUAGGAAUAUUUUCCUUUUUUAAAAUAUGAUAUUAAUAUGCAGAGUGGAAUAAUAAAUAUGAUAGUGUGAAAUAAAAAUGAACAAAAAUAAAUAAUAAAACAAAUCAAUCAUGCAUAUAUCAUAGCAAAUAAAUAAAUAAACUAAAGCAUAAAGAUGGACAUAUAAAUGAAUACAUAAGUGAACAUAAAAUUAAAGGAAAAUAUAUGAAAAUUAUAAAAUAUAAAAAAGGUAGGUACAUAUGAGGGAAAUAUGUAUGUAUAUACAUAAAAUUAUGGAAAUAUAAAAGAUGUGUAUAUAAAAGUAUGUAUAUAUGUGUAUACUUUUUAUAAAAGAGAACUAUGUACGUAUAAAUAUGUUAUAUAAAUGUAUUAACGUGUGUAUAUAUAUAUAUAUACUUUGAAAUUAUAAAAUAAAAACAUAUGUACAUAUUUUAAAAUUAUUAUAUAAAAUAUAUAUAUAUAAGUAAGUAUAUACAUAUUCGUGAGAAAAAAAUAUAAAUAUACAUAUAUAUAAAUAUAUAUAUAAUGAGUACUUAUGUAUGUAUAAAAAAAUAAAAAAUAUAUAUACAUAUAUAUAUAUGUAAGCAAUUAUAUAAUAAUAAUAUAAUAUGUCACAUAUAUCUAAGAUUUAUAUAAGUAAAUAUAAGUAUAAAUAUAAUGAUAGUAAUAAGAAUAUUAGUAAUAAUACUAAUAAUAAUAAUAAUAAUAAAACUACUGAAAAAAGGACUAAAUCGAAAUAAAAUAAAAAUACUGGGCGAAUUUGAAAUAAAAAAGACGAAAAGGACCAAAAUGUGACGCGCGAGAAAGGACGGAGGGCCAAAUGGGAAAUAAUCCCCAUCCUCCAAAACGCGCAGGUUCAAUAGGGACCAAACUGGAAAGCAAAACAAAUUAAUGGUGCCAAAUUAAAACACAAAACGAAAAGCCAAAGGAGUAAAUUGAAAGAGGGUGACAAUGUGAAAGUACUCGCAGCGCAAAUAGCCCAUAAGGCGCAAAAACACGCGGACCUUGGCCGCGGGUCGGGUUGAGAUUCGGGUAAGGGCAAAACGACGUCGUUUUGGGGCCUUUCUGACCCUUCCAAAACGGCGCCGUUUUGGAUUCCUAUAUAAGUAAAAAAACCCCUAAAAAAAAUCAUUUCAUCCCUCUUUUUAAAAAAAAAAUUUUCAGAAAACUCUCCCUUCUCUCCCUUUCAGCCCAGACUCCGCUCAACAUCCGGCGAGUGCUCCGGCUAUCGGCGCCGUCGCGCCGGCCACCGUACACGGUGGCCAGAAAUCCAAAAAAUGUAUUUUUUUGCUUUUUUUUUUACGUUUAUUCGUUUUAUAUAUGUAAAAUAAAAGAAAUAAAAUCGAAUACAAUCAGUUUCGAAAGGAAGAAAAAUAAAAAGGAAAUGAGGAAAGGGAAUAGAUCUUAUACCGAAAANNNNNNNNNNNNNNNNNNNNNNNNNNNNNNNNNNNNNNNNNNNNNNNNNNNNNNNNNNNNNNNNNNNNNNNNNNNNNNNNNNNNNNNNNNNNNNNNNNNNNNNNNNNNNUUUUUGUUCUUUGCGUGUCUUCUCCCCUUGCAGGUGGAGUCGGUGGCGACGUGACGUGACGGAGGCGUGUGAGGCGCAGUGGCAGGUGGGCAUAGUAGGGUAGGGCGGCGGCAGAGGCUAGAAGAGACCUGAAGGCCCUAGGUACGGCGCCUAGGGUUUUUUCUUUCAUUUUGUUUGGAUGAAAAUGUUUAGUUUUGGGCUUAGGGUUUCAGUUUGGUAGUGGGCUGGUAUUGUAAUGUGGGCUUGUGGGUUGUAAUUGGGUAUUGGGUCUUUUAUUUAUAAUGGGCCCCGGGCAAAUUUGGGCUUUUACAGCUGCCCCUCUUUGCUCGUUGUUAUGUAACGAGAACAGAGCAAAGACUAAGAAAGACCAAAUUUGCCUGGUCUUGCCGAGCCUCGACUUCUCUUGACACUUCUUUUCAAGUAGCUUCGUUCCAGUCCAUUGUGUCUUGUCACUUCAAUCCACUCUACUGCGCUUUAGGGAAAUCUGACUUGUAGCUUCAAUCUUCUUCGCAGCAACUUCAGGGGGACGAGAUUUGUGGUUUAAGUCUAUUCCACUACAACGUCAGGGAGAUAAGACUUGCUGUGAUCUGCUCCACUACUGCUUAGGGAGAUAAGACUUGAUGCGAUCUGCUCCACUACUGCUUAGGGAGAUAAGAUCUGGUUUCUUUCGUCUGCUCCACUACUGCUUAGGGAGAUAAUACUUGAUGCGAUCUGCUCCACUACUACUUAGGGAGAUAAGAUCUGGUUUCUUUCGUCUGCUCCACUACUGCUUAGGGAGAUAAGAUCUGUGGUUUUAAUCCGCUCCGCUGUAACUUCAGGGAGAUAGGAUAGUGUCUUCGAUCUACUCUGCUGUAACCUCAGGGGGAUAAGAUCUGAAAUUCUUCGGUCUACUCUACUGUAACCUCAAGGAGAUAAGACCUGGUGCGAUCUGCUCUAUUGUAACUUCAGAGAGAUAAGAUCCUUUAUUUUAAUUCGCUCCACUAUAACUUCAGGGAGAUAGGAUUAUGUCUUCAAUCUGCUCCGCUGUAACCUCAGGGAGAUAAGAUCUGAAAGUCUUCGGUCUACUCCACUGUAACCUCAGGGAGAUAAGACCUGGUGCGAUCUGCUCUACUGUAACUUCAGAGAGAUAAGAUCCUUUAUUUUAAUCCGCUCCACUGUAACUUCAGGGAGAUAGGAUUAUGUCUUCGAUCUGCUCCGCUGUAACCUCAGGGAGAUAAGAUCUGAAAGUCUUCGGUCUACUCCACUGUAACCUCAGGGAGAUAAGACCUGAUGCGAUCUACUCUACUGUAACUUCAGAGAGAUAAGAUCCUGUCUUCGAUCUGCUCCGCUGUAACCUCAGGGAGAUAAGAUCUGAAAGUCUUCGGUCUACUCUACUGUAACCUCAGGGAGAUAAGACCUGGUGUGAUCUGCUCUACUGUAACUUCAGAGAGAUAAGAUCCUUUAUUUUAAUCCGCUCCACUGUAACUUCAGGGAGAUAGGAUUAUGUCUUCGAUCUGCUCCGCUGUAACCUCAGGGAGAUAAGAUCUGAAAGUCUUCGGUCUACUCUACUGUAACCUCAGGGAGAUAAGACCUGGUGUGAUCUACUCUACUGUAACUUCAGAGAGAUAAGAUCCUUUAUUUUAAUCCGCUCCACUGUAACUUCAGGGAGAUAGGAUUAUGUCUUCGAUCUGCUCCGCUGUAACCUCAGGGAGAUAAGAUCUAAAAGUCUUCGGUCUACUCUAUUGUAACCUCAGGGAGAUAAGACCUGGUGUGAUCUGCUCUACUGUAACUUCAGAGAGAUAAGAUCCUUUAUUUUAAUCCGCUCCACUGUAACUUCAGAGAGAUAGGAUUAUGUCUUCGAUCUGCUCCGCUGUAACCUCAGGGAGAUAAGAUCUGAAAGUCUUCGGUCAACUCUUACUGUAACCUCAGGGAGAUAAGACCUGAUGCGAUCUACUCUACUGUAACUUCAGAGAGAUAAGAUCCUGUCUUCGAUCUGUUCCGCUGUAACCUCAGGGAGAUAAGAUCUGAAAGUCUUCGGUCUACUCCACUGUAACCUCAGGGAGAUAAGACCUGACGCGAUCUACUCUGCUGUAACUUCAGAGAGAUAAGAUCCUUCAUUUUAAUCCACUCCACUAUAAUCUCAGGGAGAUAGGAUUACUAACUUUAAUCUGCUCCGCUGUAAUCUCAGGGAGAUAAGAUCUGAAAUUCUUCAGCCAGCUUCACUACAACCGAGAGAGGUAAGGUUCGUCUUCGACCUGUUUCACUGUCAAUGCAAGAAGGCAAGAUCUGUUGUCUUCAACCAGCUCCAUCACAACCGAGGAAGGCAAGGUUUGUGUCUUCGACCGGCUUCGCUGUCAAUGCAGGAAGGCAAGAUCUUUUGUCUUCAACCAGCUCCAUCACAACCGAGAGAGGUAAGGUUUGUGUCUUUGACCUGUUUCGCCGUCAAUGCAGGAAGGCAAGAUCUUUUGUCUUCAACCAGCUCCAUCACAACCGAGAGCGGCAAGGUUUGUGUCUUUGACCUGCUUCGCCGUCAAUGCAGGAAGGCAAGAUCUUUUGUCUUUAACCAGCUCCACUGCAACCAAUGAAGGCAAGGCUUUGUUUUCGAUCUGCUUUGCUGUUAACGCAGGAAGGCAAGAUCUGCUUAUUUAACCAGCUCCACUGUAACCAAUGAAGGCAAGGCUUUGUUUUCGAUCUGCUUCGCUGUUAACGCAGGGAGGCAAGAUCUGCUUCUUCACUGAUCUGUUCUCUAGGGAACAUGACCUGUAUGUUCUAUUUUAUGAACCUAAUUGUGCCUAGUGAUUAGGAUGACAUGAAAAUGCUCCUAACUAGAUGUGUAUGAAUGACAUUUGAAUGAAUGCAAAAUGAAAAUGGUUCCUUAAUGCUUAGGUUAUCAUCACGUAAAAGCUUAUUAAGGCUUUAUCACUGACGCGCUACAACGCCUUCUUGCUCGGCAGGCGUAUCCAAACAAACACUUAAUUUGAAUGGCCCCCAGUGUGAUCUUCAAACUUCAAUCCACUGGGAUGCAAAAUUUGUACCAUCAUUCUCCCACUGUAAUCCAAGAGUAGAAAGAUAUGGCUUUUCUCGAUCUUCUCCUAUCGCAAUUUAAGGACAUAGAAUGUGAAGCUCUUUGGUCCUUUACCUCAUUCCCAAGGUGUCAUACCAAAUGCUCAUACACAAUUGCAAAAUUUUAUUCUCCAAGAAAACCUUUUCUUUUUGCCUGGUGAACAUCACUUGUUGGUUCAUUGAAGCUUUGCUACCAACACGUCAUCUUGUCAUUUUGCUCAAUCAAUGUUUGGACAACAAAAUCUGAAAAGAUAGUCUUUAACUUAGACUCUUCCUUCUUAGAUAUUUCACCCUUUAAACUUGGUGUUUUCUAAACAAUAGCUCUGCCUCAGGUUCCUAUAUUAUUUAGAAACUUCUAGAGUAAUAUGCAAAACUUCCAUUGUGAAAGUGUUAUUAGUCCAUUAAUCAUUAUUCUAAUGCAACAUGCUUGCAAAGAGAACAUAACGAUAGAUAAAAUAGAAUUGAUUUGAGAGCAUAGCUCGAAAUGAAUGAAUUAUCAAGGGUAGUAAGAAUAAAAGAGGAAUUGAUUGGAAUACGUAUCUUGAAAAAGAAUGAAGUAUUCCAAGAACAACAACAAACUCAAUAUAUAAAUAGUAUGAAUGUUAGGCACCCUAGAUAUCGCAGCUUGAACUCCUCUGUACAAACUUUCUGAAGAUUUUCCUGAGUUUGACAUGUGUUUAGGAGAUCUACAUGACUCUGUCGAUGCCCCAAGACGUUUCCUUACCCUUUCAGGUAUAGCAAGAUCACCACAUGCCCCGAUCUGAUCACUUCAUGCCCUAUUCUGAUCAAUAUUUGAGCCGCCCUUCGGGUUUUCAACUCAAAUCCCUUUUGGCCUAAGGUGCCCUUUGCGGGUUUUCCCCUUAGCCUCUCUAUUUUUACUUUUUUAUUUUUUCAUUUUUCAUCAUUUUUUUUGUUUGACUCAAAGUACCCUUUGCAGGUUCUCACCUUGGUCCUUCCUUCUUCUUUAAAUGAAGUGUUUCUCAAUUGGAUCUGAGUUUAUAGGAUUGACAAUCUCACUCAGGAUCAGUGCUCCUCUGAAAAUGGUCUUCUUUACAACAUAAGGACAUUCUUGGUUUGGCAUUCAUUUCGCUUUAGAAUCCUUUCGUUAAGGAAGAAUCUUUUUCAACAUCCAACCCUCUCGUGGAAUUCUUUGAGACCAGCCUGUUUAUUAUGGGCUCAUAUUAUUUAUUUAUGGUACAUCCGACCCUGAUGAAUAGCUUUUAACCCUUUUCCUAGGGUCAACUGAUCACAUCGCGAUUGGGUCCCUCCAACAAGUAAUGAAGGGAUUUUAAUAGGUAAAACUACCUCAUUCUUGUAAACCAAAAAGAGAGGUGUUGCCCCAGUACAGAUGUUCGACAAACAAUGAGGGCAUAUGGUAAUUUCUCACGUCAAUCCUUGUAAGUCUCAGUCAUUUUCCUUCAAUUUUCGAUGUUUAACUCUAGGAACUUCAGUGACGAAUCAUGGUGUCCACUUCUGAGUUAAUUUGAGACCUCAGCUAUCAUGCUAUUGUUUAAGCUCAAAGCAUUCUCCAACACCAUCCUCACUGAAAUUCUGUAUCAGUAUAAAAUGACCUUGAUCCAUGCAGUAGCCUCUAAAAAAUGAAGCAAUGCCCAUCAGAAGUCUUCGAUAAUGGUGAUGUCCAUGCCCUAUUUUGCUCAAAAUUUGAGUCACCUUUUUUCGGGUUUUCAACUCAGAUCCACCUUUGGUCAAAGCGCCUUUUGCGGGUUUUCGCCUUGACCUCUCCUUUUUCUUUUUCUUUUUCUUUUUCUUUUUCUUUUUUCUAUUUUUGACUUUGAUUUUUUUAUUUUUGUUUUUCUUUUGAUUUUUUGAUUUUUUGAUUUUUUGAUUUUUUUUUUGAGUCUGAACUCAUGAGAUCAGGCAAGUCCUGGUCAUGUUUUUCGACCAGAAUCAAUGUUAUUCUAAAGUCUUCCACAUAAGAUCUUCCACUUUCAUCUUGUAUGUGAAAAACCUUCUUUGGUACCAGAUUUUUUUCAUAGAGCCCUUUUGGGACGCAACUACGACAAAACUUUGGAUCUUCCUCUUUAACCAGGAUAAAAUCCAACAACAUCUUGAAAGGAUGGAAACUCAACUUCAAAUGGGCAAAGCUAUGCUGAAUCAAUGAGAGAGGCAUUGCCCCGGCAAAGAAUUGCAUCGUUCGCACUGUAAAUUUCUAACAACAUGCUGUUGUGCAGGUUUUAUUAUAAGAAUCGAGGCAUACCCUGGUAUGAUCAUACAAAGNNNNNNNNNNNNNNNNNNNNNNNNNNNNNNNNNNNNNNNNNNNNNNNNNNNNNNNNNNNNNNNNNNNNNNNNNNNNNNNNNNNNNNNNNNNNNNNNNNNNUAACUCAAAAAGGUCUUGCUUCGCCUCUGUGGUCAGGUCAAUUCUAGUCUUCACCAAGCUCACAAUUUCUAAUGAUUCCUUGAGAGGUAGGAUCUGUUUAUCCUCUUGUUCUACCAUCCUCAACAAGUCUGGGGAUAGGCUACAAUCUAUGUCAUCUUCAAAGUCGUAAGAUCCCUCUAAACACAUGUCUCGCUCAAAAGGAGAUUCUAAGUAUGUAGCAAAGUCAUUCACGUCGUUGAUAUCCAGGGACCUACUGUAGGUACAAAAGAAUAUACAAAGAAUGUAUGAAUUUAAGAAUAAUUAUCUGCACAGUAUGAUUAAAAAAAUGAUUUGGAUGAAAGAAUAAAAGAAUAAUCAUUCAAGAAAUGAAAGAAUAUUGGUUCAAAAGAUCGCAAAGAUGCAUUCCAUUAAAAUAAUGAUGUUCAGACAUGAGCCUAUUUCACAAAAGACUUCUUGUUGCCUCUAGGCUAAAAGCAACAAGUGUGUUUUGAAUAUUACUCUGAGUAAGCUCUAAAUACUAUAGGGGUUCCUUUAGAACACUCCCAAGUUUAUAAGGGCGAACAUCUAAUAAGAUCUCUUCUCCGAUUGCUUCUUCGUAUUCGGCACUGAUGUGAACGUUUCCCAACAUCUCUUCAUUCAUGCAUUCCUUUCAUUAUCCGUAUGAUUGAGUAGCGGGUUUUCUGUACUAGAUAAAUCGUCCAAUUUGACAAUGCCUAUACUGAUAAGCCUUUCAACCACCUUUUUAAAGGCAAUGCAAUUUUCUAUGGAAUGCCCCGUAUUUCCCGCAUAAUAUUCGCAUUGUGCAUUCGCAUCGUGCCAUUUGGGGUACGGAGGCUGUGGAGGUUUUGAGUAGAAAGGGGAAACGAUGUGCGCAUCGAAUAACUUUUAGUACAGCUCCUUAUACGUCAUUGGAAUUGGCGUGAACUGGAGGUUCUCAGUACCUUGUUUCACCUCAGAUUCUUACUUUAAAGGACUCCGACGUCUGGUAGUUUCUGUUUUUGAUCGGUCCACAGUGAUUGGUUUUGAGUGGCCCUUGUUAUAUAUAUUCGCAUUAUUCCCCCUAUUCCCCUUCUUCUUUGGGGCCUCUAUAAUAUCUGGGUACCCUGCCCCUACCUGCUUCAUUUCUUCUGGAUCAUCACGUGCAACAAGAAAAUUAUUCCUCAAAUUGGAUCUUAGGCCCGUCAAGCCACUUACUGGUGCUAUUGUACUAGUCUGAUAUUGUUGAGAUCUUAUGGUAAAGAGUGCCCCUUGUGGACGCCCAUCCGGCUGGACUUGGACACUUGUCGGAGUAUAAUCUAGGGAAUGGGCAAGAUCAUUAUUAUCAACCCCAAAGUGGACCACUGGGUCCUUCCUUUUUUCUAACUCUCCAGCUGGCAGUCGGUUGAACUGACUCAUCAAGGUUCUUUGUAAUUCUAGCAUCUGAUCUCUCAUCUCCUGUUGAAAUUCAGUCAAUUGCUCCCGCAUCUGAAUCUGCAUUCACUCUAAUAUCUCCAACCUUUGGUCCAUUCCUUAGUUUCUAUUCGGGUACUGCAAAAAUGUUGGUUUUCCAGACUUUCUGAAAUAAUUUUACCUAAUUAGGGUCACUUCGUGAAAAUCUAAUGCAUGUGAUACAAUGUAAUGCAAAUGCAUGAAAUGAAUGCCUAAAGAGACGUUGAUUCUGAUUCAAUUAUAUUUAGGAAACUUUUCUAGAAAGUAAAUUCCCUUACAUAAAACGGAUACAUGUACGACCUCACCCUCAUAUUCCAAGAAACAACAUCGGUUUUUUCUUCAUCCACAUGUUUGAGGUAAUCUCUCCAAUAGAUGCCAUUGCUAGCUCAUUUUCUUGAUCUUGGUCGCGAUCCAUCAUCUGCCCAUCUUCAUAAAGCUCGUCCGCCUCUUUAAAGGGGUGGAAUGUUGAAGGCUCUUAGAUAAUUGCCUUGAAUCCUCAGGCUACGAAGCAGGGUCACGAACUCUUCCAUCGCCAUUCUUGUGUUUCUCAGAAUAUAUUCGGGAAGUCGUAUUGUUUUCCACUUUAUCAAGGAAUCCGUAUUCCAUGACAAACUUUCUAAUUUAGUAAUCGGACUUGAAUCAAUAUCUCUUUCCUAAGAUGCAAAUGCGAUGCAAUCAUAAUCAAAGCACAAAAAGAGGGGUUAGUACAAAAAUAAACAAGGAAAACAGAAAGUACCUAAUCGGGUGACUACUAGGGGUUUGGAGUGGCUCUAUCUAGGCUAAGUUCCUAAGUCCACUAUAUGAGGUUUGGCUCUAAAGAUAAGGUACCCGAACUAGCAGAUUCCUCGAUCUUCACCCAUUAUAGGUUCAUACAGACCGAGUUCGGUUCAGGGGAAUACAUUUCCCUAUGGCUGCACGGAGAUGAAAAUCUCACGAAGACAUAGGUACGGAUGUAUCCCGAAAGCGAUCCACUAUCCUGCACGGAGGUGAAAACCUCACGAAGGAGUAGCUUCUCACUCCCACUUAAAAGGUGUGACCAGCAGUCAUGCAAUGCAAUGCAGAAAGAUAUAAAAAUUUAAAAUACAAAACAUGAUGAAAACUAUAACUCAAAACAAAUGAAAUGCAAUGAGAGGAUCGUAUAUUUAAAUCAAAUUUUUGACUUUCGACAAAAAGACAAAAAGUAAUCAACUCGUGGCUUGACUCUCUUAUUUUUGGGUCCCCAGCGGAGUCGCCAAGCUGUUGACACCAUUUUUUUGGAUGGAAAACGGGGUCGACUUGGGUUUUAAAAAAUGAAACAAAAACGGGAGUCGCCACCAAUCCUUUUUUAUAAGGUGUGAUUGGAUCACCUCGAAAAGUGGUUAUUUUUAAUAAAAGGUUUGAUUUUAUUAAAACAACAAGUUUGGUCCACGAAAUUCAGAAAAAAUGGGUUCGGGAGUCGGUUACGCACGAGGAAGGAUUAGCACCCUCGAUACGCCCAAAAUUGGUACCUAGUUGAUCACUCAAGGUCUGCAUGUCGGAAAUUGAAAACUUUAAAGAAAUUUAAAAUACGAUCCUUAAAAAAACUUGAAUGGCAUGGAUUAAAAUUUAAGAGGAUAUUUGGCAAUUUGGUUAAACGAGAAAUCGAAACCCAGCACAUUAGGGCACGUUCCUCGAAUUUCCGAAGGCAAAACAUUGCCUUAUUUUGAAAUAUAUAUAUAUAUUUUAAAAAGGAUAUUAAGUCAUUUGGUUGAACGAGAAAAAUCAACACCCAGCACCUUAGGGCGUGUUUUCUCGAAUUUCCAAACGCAAAACAUUGCCAUAUUUUGAAAUUUUUUAAAGGAUAUUAAGCCAUUUGGUUGAAUGAGAAAAAUCGACACCCAGCACCUUAGGGCGUGUUUUCUCGAAUUUCCAAACGCAAAAUAUUGCCUUAUUUAGGAAUAUUUUCCUUUUUUAAAAUAUGAUAUUAAUAUGCAGAGUGGAAUAAUAAAUAUGAUAGUGUGAAAUAAAAAUGAACAAAAAUAAAUAAUAAAACAAAUCAAUCAUGCAUAUAUCAUAGCAAAUAAAUAAAUAAACUAAAGCAUAAAGAUGGACAUAUAAAUGAAUACAUAAGUGAACAUAAAAUUAAAGGAAAAUAUAUGAAAAUUAUAAAAUAUAAAAAAGGUAGGUACAUAUGAGGGAAAUAUGUAUGUAUAUACAUAAAAUUAUGGAAAUAUAAAAGAUGUGUAUAUAAAAGUAUGUAUAUAUGUGUAUACUUUUUAUAAAAGAGAACUAUGUACGUAUAAAUAUGUUAUAUAAAUGUAUUAACGUGUGUAUAUAUAUAUAUAUACUUUGAAAUUAUAAAAUAAAAACAUAUGUACAUAUUUUAAAAUUAUUAUAUAAAAUAUAUAUAUAUAAGUAAGUAUAUACAUAUUCGUGAGAAAAAAAUAUAAAUAUACAUAUAUAUAAAUAUAUAUAAUGAGUAUUUAUGUAUGUAUAAAAAAAUAAAAAAUAUAUAUACAUAUAUAUAUGUAAGCAAUUAUAUAAUAAUAAUAUAAUAUGUCACAUAUAUCUAAGAUUUAUAUAAGUAAAUAUAAGUAUAAAUAUAAUGAUAGUAAUAAGAAUAUUAGUAAUAAUACUAAUAAUAAUAAUAAUAAUAAAACUACUGAAAAAAGGACUAAAUCGAACUACUGAAAAAAGGACUAAAUCGAAAUAAAAUAAAAAUACUGGGCGAAUUUGAAAUAAAAAAGACGAAAAGGACCAAAUGGGAAAUAAUCCCCAUCCUCAAACGCGCAGGUUCAUAGGACCAAACGAAAAGCCAAAGGAGUNNNNNNNNNNNNNNNNNNNNNNNNNNNNNNNNNNNNNNNNNNNNNNNNNNNNNNNNNNNNNNNNNNNNNNNNNNNNNNNNNNNNNNNNNNNNNNNNNNNNNNNNNNNNNNNNNNNNNNNNNNNNNNNNNNNNNNNNNNNNNNNNNNNNNNNNNNNNNNNNNNNNNNNNNNNNNNNNNNNNNNNNNNNNNNNNNNNNNNNNNNNNNNNNNNNNNNNNNNNNNNNNNNNNNNNNNNNNNNNNNNNNNNNNNNNNNNNNNNNNNNNNNNNNNNNNNNNNNNNNNNNNNNNNNNNNNNNNNNNNNNNNNNNNNNNNNNNNNNNNNNNNNNNNNNNNNNNNNNNNNNNNNNNNNNNNNNNNNNNNNNNNNNNNNNNNNNNNNNNNNNNNNNNNNNNNNNNNNNNNNNNNNNNNNNNNNNNNNNNNNNNNNNNNNNNNNNNNNNNNNNNNNNNNNNNNNNNNNNNNNNNNNNNNNNNNNNNNNNNNNNNNNNNNNNNNNNNNNNNNNNNNNNNNNNNNNNNNNNNNNNNNNNNNNNNNNNNNNNNNNNNNNNNNNGGCUUUAUAGCCGAUUACAUGUUAUUAUUUUGCUUUUUUUGUUCUUUGCGUGUCUUCUCCCCUUGCAGGUGGAGUCGGUGGCGACGUGACGUGACGGAGGCGUGUGAGGCGCAGUGGCAGGUAGGCAUAGUAGGGUAGGGCGGCAGCAGAGGCUAGAAGAGACCUGAAGGCCCUAGGUACGGCGCCUAGGGUUUUUUCUUUCAUUUUGUUUGGCUGAAAAUGUUUAGUUUUGGGCUUAGGGUUUCAGUUUGUAGUGGGCUGGUAUUGUAAUGUGGGCUUGUGGGUUGUAAUUGGGUAUUGGGUCUUUUAUUUAUAAUGGGCCCCGGGCAAAUUUGGGCUUUUACACAUAUAUAUUAUCAUGUAGGUUAUAACAUCAAUUUUUUAUGAAGUACAUUUGUAUUAUCAUACCGUAUUCAACAGACUGUCAUUCAAGUGGCCAUCCGAGUUUUCUAUUUUUCAUCAUAUGAUGAUUCCCUAUGGAAUUAGCCCUUUAUUAACUGAUACAUUUUCAAUAAUUUCCCUUUAAAGAGGAAUAGUAUUGACAGACAUAUCUCUCACUUAGUUCAUCCUUUCUAGUACCUCUUUCCGUCAAAGGGAUUCUAACUAACUCUUCUUUACCGAUUUGUUUGUAACUCUUCUUUUCAAAUCAAUCCUUCCUACAUGACAAACCUUUUGUCUUCUUUAAUUAUGAACAAAUCACAAUUCUUAGAAGGGUUCAAAGGGUUAAGUGUUUUGAAGGACAGUGGCAGAUCAGAUUUAUGUCUAAAGAAACAAACUUAAUUGCGGACCGAUUGGCUAAGCUUUGCCUUGCAUGAAAGUCGAGCUUACAAAUUUUUGAUGUACCUCCUAAUGAAGUAUUGGGGACUCUUCAACAAGAUAAAGCUUGUGGUGCUUUUGAACAAUUGAAUUGAUAUGAUUUUGUUUUACCUUCACCAAAAAAAUACAAAUUAUAACAAAAGAAAAAUAGUAUAGAUAUAUAAUCAUAAAUUUUAUAAAACAUAAAUUCUCAAAGAGGCAUAGCACAUUAACUACAAAGGUAGCCUACUGGUGAUAAAAUCUUCCAGUUAAACAGAUAAACUCCAAAUUUAUCAUAUGACAAUAAAUGAAAAAGAAAGGUGGAACAAGCCAAAAUAAGCAGAUCAUUUAAGCAAGAAGAGCACAAACAAACAAACAAAAAUUCCUUCUUUUAUUAUGUUAAGUCGUGCCGUCUUUGUAAGGAAUAAAAAGGUGGCAAGAUGUCUUUGUUCCCAGGCUCGUAAACUCGCUCCUAGUUCUUCUCCCAUUUUCGUCCACUAGGUAAGGGGUAAAGUGCAAUUUUACCUUUACCGAUUUAAAAUUUUUAAAGAACCUAAAUGAAUAAUUUUUCAUUUUAGGGGGAGCUGGCCCUGCUAGUCCUUUUUAGGGGUGAACUCCUUUUGGUUCAGCUUUUGGGUACAAACUAAAUAAAUAAGAAAGACUAAAAAAGAUAAAGAACAAAUUUCUUGGAGCUUUCCUCUGACAAAUAUUUUAAUUAUGAAUGGCAUUCUAUGGUGCUAAUUACAGUUUAAUUUCGGUCCUUAAAAAAGUUUUUUUUUCUUUUUUUAUUUCACUCCGGCCUCUUUGUGAAAUUCCUUGGAGCUUUCCUUUGACAAAUAUUUUCAUAUGAAUGGCAUUAUAGUCCUUUUAUUCUAUUGUGCUAAUCACUUGGUUUCUUUGGGUCAUGGGAUUAUAAACCUUUCGUCUUCAUUAAUUAUAAACAAUUCUAAGUGCUUGCCAAUUAUUAUUAUGAAGUCAUUCUUUAAUAUAAGUUAUAUAUUAGUCUUGAUAUAGCUUUUCCUUAUUCCAUUUCUUGUUGGUUCUCAACUGUUGAAGGGUUCAAUAUCAUUUCUACUCUCCUUUUCUGCAGUCAUCAUAUCAAGCGACUUCACAGGGAAAACGAUGAAGAAAUAGUGGAUAAUUGAUGAAAGAGAGUAAUGAUAAUAAUUCAUCAUAAUCAGAUCUUUACGAGUAUUGAAUUGAAUAAUAUAAUUAAAUUUAAAUCAAUCAAUUAAUUAAUUCACACAUUUCUUUUAUAAAGUAAAUGUUUAAUAUUCGAAAUUAUUUUAAUAAAUCUUUUCUAAAAUCUUAACCUCAAGAUUUUAUUGACAUGUCAAUUGUCAAUUGUAACCUUAAUGCUUAUGCAUUUUAAAAAUUAUACAAAUCUCACAUUGUUGAAGAAAGAUUUUGAAAUUCUUGUUUAUAAGCAGGAAAAAUUAAGUUUAGAGGGUCUUGUGACUUGUGCAUUGAGCCGCAAAGCCAAUGCAAUUUACAUCCAAUGUCUUUUUUGUUUUUGAAAUUAUUUUUUUACUCAAUUUUUGAGAGUUAAAAGAAAAGUAAUUAAUCGUUUUAACUUGUAAGAUCUAUAUUUAGUCAAACUAAAAAUAACUUAAUCGAUUGAAGUUAUUUUUAGUUAAAUACAGAUUCAUUUUGAAGAUCAACAGAGAUUGGUGUUUGAAUGAAACAUGGAUGACAAGGGAAGAAUAGAGCAAUAGGAGAAAUAAUGAUACUGACUUGUUGUAGAUUGUGUUGGAAUAGCUAGUACCAUAAUUAGGGGAGAGUAAAACUCGAUUCGACUCAAAAAAAAUUUUAAUUUUAAAUUUUGAGUUAAUUGAAUCAAGUUAUUCGGUUUUUUUUAGCCAACUCAAAUAAGUAAUUUGAGUUUUGAGUUCAAGUAGAGUUAUAUUUUACAAUUUGAAUAAUAGAUUGGUAUAAAUACACCUUUGAUCCCUGUCAAUUUUAAAAAUGAGCAAAAUGAUUUCUCUAAAAAAAAAAAACCAAACUUGUUUAAAGUAUUGUGAUAAGGGGAGUAGUUUCACAUGGAUGAACACACAUUUUCAUUCUGUUAUAGACCGAAGAAACCUGAAGAAGAUCAUGUGGCACUUGAUACUAGCAUACUUUUAAUUACCACAACUAGUUUAGAUUUUGUGAAGAAGAGGGAGCACUGUGUGCUAUUGCUAUUGCAAUUCUAUUGUUGCAAUUUUGCUACUACAAUUUAGGGAGACUUAUUUUUAUCAACAAAAAUGUGACAAGGUUAUCUCGAUUUAAAAAUGCUUUAUUCUCAUAAAAAUGUAAGUAUGAACAAACAUAAAAUAUAUUAAUCGAUCAUGAUUGUCCGCACAUGAACGGAGAAAUCUUAGUACAUAAUAUUUUUUACUUGUUAUCUUAUUACAUAAUAAAGUUGUAAAGAAUUUAAACUAUAAUAAUUUAUAAUUUAAAUUAAUUUAAUAAAGUACCUACUGAAUCAUUAGCCUUCUAAAAUUUUAUUAGACCAUUAUUAGUGAAUUAAAUAAACCUAAUUGACUCAUAUAAAUAAUUGGAUCCAUCGUGCACUGCCAUGAGGCGUGAAUUACAUUCUAGUUAGUCUAAAUGUUGUAUUAAUUUCUUUUAACUUUUGGUUGAGCUUUUGGGUACUAACUAAAUAAAUAAGAAAGACUACAAAAAGAUAAAGAGAUGUCCUCUUUGCAGUGGCGUUUGUUGGGGUUAGCAAGGCACGGCUUUGUUAAAAUAGAAAUUUGUUUAUUUAAGUUUUUUAAAAAUUUUAAAAUUUUAAAUUAAUAAAGAUAAAUUAUAUUUUAGUUAACUUAAAAAUGAUAAAAAUUUGAUUUAAUCUUCUAAAAAUUAUAAAGAUACAGGUUAUUAAAAAUUACAGUUUAAUUUUGACCCCUAAAAAAGUUUUCUGACUUUGCCUCUAUCUCGUUGUAAAAUUUCUUCGAGCUUUUCUUUGACAAAUAUUUUCAUAUGAAUGGUAUUAUAGUCCUUUUAUUCUAUUGUGCUAAUCACUUGGUUUCUUUGGGUUAUGGGAUUUCCCACUUAGUUAUAUAAUAAUUAUUACCAAAAUAAUAAUCUCAUAAAAUAUGAGAUUUAUUAUAACAAACUUUAUGACAUAGGAAUAUUAUAUUUUUAUACCAAUUUUAUUGCUAUUUAUAUUCUUUAAAUUUUUAAAUAAAAAAUCAUGUGUUUAAAUAUAUUUGGAUUCAAUUUUUUAUUAUUGUAAUAACAAAAAAAUUAAUUAAAGUAAUACUUAGUUAGCGAUAUAGUACAAUUAUCUUCAUAGGAGAGUGCAUAAUCAAAAAGAUUCUAACAUUUUAUCCUCUUUUCGUGCUGCUUGAAUCUCCAAAAACGGUGGCCCACUUCAACAAACCUUUUGUCUCCCUUAAUUAUGAACAAUUCUAAGUGUUUGCCAAUUAUUAUUAUGGACUCAUUCUUUAAUGUAAGUUAUAUAUUAGUCUUGAUAUAUAAAGCCUAAAAAAGAUAAAGAACAAAUUUCUUGGAGCUUUCCUCUGGCAAAUAUUUUAAUUAUGAAUGCCAUUCUAUUGUGCUAAUUACAGUUUAAUUUCGGUCCUUAAAAAAAAGGUUUUUUUUUUAAAUUUCAGUCCGGCCUCUUUGUGAAAUUCCUUGGAGCUUUCCUUUGGCAAAUAUUUUCAUAUGAAUGGCAUUAUAGUGCUUUUCUUCUGUUGUGCUAACCACUUGGUUUCUUUGGGUUAUGGGAUUAUAAACAUUUCUAAGUGCUUGCCAAUUAUUAUUAUGAAGUCAUUCUUUAAUAUAAGUUAUAUAUUAGUCUUGAUAUAAGGUUAAGGAGGAGUUACGUGUAGUUCUAGGUAUUAUAUCAAAUUUUCUCAGAAUAUUUUUUAACAUUUGUAUAAUUAAAUAUUCAAGUUUAUGUGAUAUAAAUUAUAUAAUAUAUAAAAAUACAUUAUAAAAGUAUAAAUCAAUCUAGGUUUGGGCUAGAGGUAAUCGUGGGUUGGGCCUCAAUAUGAUAUUAACAUACUUUAUACUUGUCCAAACCCACCCAUAUUUUCCAAAGAAUAAUCCAAGUCCGUUUAGGCCCGUCUAUAUUAUUUUUUAAUUUUUUUAAAAAUAUUUAUAUUAUACUAUUUUAAUAUUUAAUAAGUUGCAUAUUUUUUAUUUAUUAAAUUUUUUAUAUAGUCCUCUUAACAUUAUUUUAUUGCUUACAUUAAGCCAGUAUUAUAUAUUUACGAAAGAUUAACUCAAGCCCUUUUAGGCCGCCCAUAUUAUUUUUUCAAAUUUUUUAAAAAUAUUUAUUUUAUUUUAAUAUCUAAUGCUCUCUAGUGUUCGUUCUGAUGAUUGGUGGUAUUAACGUUGGAUUUUGGUUUCAUUUAUUAAGUAAAAUAAACAAAACUCACAAUAUUUAGAGGUUCAUGAUUGGAUUUCUCUCCGAUUUGUAUCAAGAAUUUUGACCUUAAAAUAUAAAAAUUCGAUCUAAUCCCUCUAUCUGAACUGCGAUCCGACAAAUUCCCAAUCAACUUGGUCAUUUGAAUUCUUUCAAUAACCUUUGGGAUAAUGUUUAAAACCUUACAUAUUUCUAAUUAACAUCAUACACUUUCUAACACUAAUCAUAUCUUUUUAAUAAUAUUUUAACUUUAAUUAGUGUUGAUUAAUUAAAUAAAUUUGAAGCUAAAAAUCAAACAAAAUUAAUGAACAAUAAUAGUAAAACAAGGCUUAUGGAUUUGGUUUUGUUCGUGGAACUAAAUUUAUGAUUUUAGAGAAAGGGUUAAAUAAAGAUUGAGGGCUAAAAAGGUUUAGGAUUAUAGAGUCAAGGGUUUUGUUUGUUGAAUAAAACAUUGUGUGCAUUUUGAGUUUUUAUUCAUUUCACCACUUUAAAAAAAAUUAUUUAAAUGAAAGAUUGUUUAUCUAUUUAUGCAUGGAUAUUGGUUACACAUGAAAGGAGAAAUCUUAUUAGAAUUUAUAAUUUAAAUUAAGUUGGCCUUCUAAAAUUUUCUUAGACCAUUAUUAGUGAAUUAAAUAAACCUAAUUGGCUCAUAUAAAUAAUUUGAACCAUCGUGCAGUGCCAUGAGACAAGAAUCUACUUAGUCUAAAUGUUGUAUUAAUUAACCAUUAAUGAAUAUUAAUGGUAAAAAGCCAAGAUGUAAGUCCUUAUCAUAAUAAAGAUAAAAGAAAAUUACUUUGGCACCACCUCUCAUUAAUUCAUAAUAUAUAUUUGUGUGAAUGUUUAUUAAUCUUCACAAAGGAUGGUCUUCUUUAAUUAUGAACAAUUCUAAGUGCUUGUCAAUUCUUAUUAUGAAGUCAUUCUUUAGUAUCUUUUCUGCAGUCAUCGUAUCAAGCGACUUCCAGGAAACCGAUGAAGAAACAGUGGAUAAUUGAUGGAAGAGAGUAAUGACAAUAAUCCCACCACAAUCAAGUGUUAGAAUUGAAUAAUAUAAUUCAACUAUACAAAUCUCAUAUUGUUAAAGUGAAAUUUUGAGAUUCUUGUCUAUAAGUCAUUAUACUUCAUUAAGUUAACAAAUUAAAUUUAGACCGUGAACUUGUGGCCUACAAGGCUAAUGCAAUUUACAUCCAAGUCCUUUUUGUUUUUAAAAUUACUUUUUACUGAAUGUUUUAGAAAACUUCUUAACCUGUAAAAAUAUUUUAAUCGACUGAAGCUAUUUUCAGUUGAGUUCAUUUUAACCUUUUUCAAACUAUUUUUAGCUAAUUCAAUCGACUUACCUAUGUUAUAGUUAACCAGUGAAAUUUUUAUAAAUACUCCUUCAAAGUUCCCAAUUUAUUCUUUACAUUCUCUUUCAAAAACUCCUUGUUUACUCAAAAGCUCUCUUCUACAAUUUUAACCGAAUAUUUAUUUGAUUUGUUUUUCCUACCAAUUAAUAGAAUUGUUUGUUGAAUUCUAGAGAAUACGUAAAUUCACGAAAUAUUUGUAAGGACUGUUGACAACAUUUUUUUUGAUGAAAAACGGGGUCCAAUUGGGUUUUGAAAACGAAAAAGGGAGUCGCCACCAAUCCUUUUUUGAGGUGUGAUUGGGUCACCUUGGAAAGAGGUUGUUUCUAAUAAAUAAUUUAAUUUUAUUAAAACAACGGUUUUGGUCAACGGAAUCUAGAAAACGGGUUCGGGAGUCGGUUACGUACGAGGAAGGGUUAGCACCCUCGUAACGCCCAGAAAUUGGUACCUAGUUAAUUAUCUAAUGUCUUGAUGUCGAGAACUGAAAACUUGAAAAAUUUUUAAAAUACGAUCCCUUGGUAUUAAACAUUAAAAAUUUGGGAAAAGAAGCAUAUUUUAUGUUAAUCGAGAAAAAGAAUCGUAUCCAGUAAGUUAGGACACAAUAUCUCGAAUUCCCAAUAUACAAAAAAAUGCUUAUUUAAAAGGUAUUUUUAGCUAUCUCGGAUUCGAAAGUGAGGUCACAACCAGUAAGUUAGGAUGCGAUUCUUUUUAAAUCCCUAGAUCAUUUAAAACUUGAGUUUGAAAGAUUCGUGUAUUUAGAUUUAUUGUGAAAAUCGAAACCCAGUAAGUUAGGGUACGGCAUUCUCAAAUCUAAACACGAGAUUUUGCUUAUUCAAAAAUUGUAAUUUUAUGUAUUGAAAUGAAUUAAUCUAACAUGAAAUUAUAAAACCCGAUGUUAAUACUCAUAACAAGACGAUAUUGAAUACAAUAGUGCAAAAUAAUACGAACAAUUGCAACGUAAAUAAGAUAAAUACAAAGUAUGAAUCAAUAACAUACGAAAUAGCAAUGUAUACAAGCAAAUAAAAUUAAAGCAUUCAUUCAGAUCAAUAACGCAAAUGAAAUAAAUAACUAAAUGAAUACGAAUAUAAAAAGUAAAAAGAUAUAUGUGUGUGCAUAAAAUUAUGAGAAUGUAAAAAAUCUAUGUACGUAAAAAUAUGUGUAAAUAUNNNNNNNNNNNNNNNNNNNNNNNNNNNNNNNNNNNNNNNNNNNNNNNNNNNNNNNNNNNNNNNNNNNNNNNNNNNNNNNNNNNNNNNNNNNNNNNNNNNNNNNNNNNNNNNNNNNNNNNNNNNNNNNNNNNNNNNNNNNNNNNNNNNNNNNNNNNNNNNNNNNNNNNNNNNNNNNNNNNNNNNNNNNNNNNNNNNNNNNNNNNNNNUAUAUAUAUAUAUAUAUAGACAUGCGGCUAUAUACAAUAAAAAUAAUAAAAGAUAAAUAUGUAUAGGUAUUCAUAAAAAUAAAAUAUGUGUAUUCGUAUAUUAAAGUAUAAAGUAUAAAUAAUAUAUAUCUAAGUAGAUAUACAUAUGUAAGUAAACUUGGAAAGUUAUGCGUACACAUACUAUGACAAUAUGAAUGUAUAUGUAUAAAUUAUAGAAUGUAUUAAAGCGUAAGUAUGUAAAUAGGUAUGUACACAUAUAUCAUAAUCAAAAAACAGUAUAAAUGGGUAAACAAUAAAGGCAAAUAAUAAAAAUAAAAGCAAUAAUGAUAAUAAUAAUAAUAAUAAUGGUAAUAAAACUAAUUACUUUUAAAAAAAAUAAAACGGGACUAAAUAAAAAAAAAAGCAAAAUCCCAGGGGAGAAAAGUAAAAAGAAAAAAACUAAAACAGGGACCAGAUUGGAGGGAAGCCCAGAAGCAGGAGGACUGAAAGGGUAAAUAGACCCUCAGUCCAAAACACGCGGAUCCCUGGGAUCCAUCGGGUCAACGAGCGGGUCGCGCUCAAUACGGCGCCGUUUUGGAGCCAUUGAUCAGACUCCAAACGGCGUCGUUUCAGACAACACCUAAGGCCCAAGAAAUACCUUAAUCUGAUAGCCUCCAUUCAUUUUUUAAACAAACAAAGAAAAAGAAAAUAAAAAAACAAAAAAGGAAAACUGAGAGCCCGAAUGCUCUCCUCCCCACGCCUCUCUCGGCCCUUAAGCUCAGGCCGCCAUCUCCGCCUCCAUGGCCAAUGGCCGGAGUUGCGCGAGAACGGCCCCUAGGCCUCCCCCAUUUGCGGCGUCCCCGAAGGCUAAGCCUUCUCAACCGCGAGAUCAAAAGGAAAAGGGAUGAAAUGCCCCUUUUGGCUAGUCUCCGACGACGGCAAGGGUGGGGUUCCGACACCAGCCCGUCGAAGCGGUAAGGUAUUUACUCCUUUCCCUUUUAGUUCAUUUUCUUUGUUGAACGAUUGCGAAGGGAAAAAAAUAAUAAACAAUAAAUAAAGAGUAAAGUAAAUAAGAAACAAGAACAGAGAAGAAUAAACUGGAGUCAACCUUUUUGAUCUGUUUUUCCUUUUUUUGAAUUCAAAACGCUGUGUAAAAAAUUGUACAGAGAUAUUGUUUGGCUUUUAUAGCCUUUUCCAUUGUAUUUUGAUUGUAUUUUGCUGUCUUGCACUAUCUGUUGCGUGCUCCUGCUUUUUUCUAUCAUUUUUUUGCAGGCGUUGAUGAAGCUAGUAGCGGCGGGUGGCGAUGGGACAAAACGAAUGAUGAUGGCAGAGGGAUGGGCGCGGUGCUAGGCUUGGCUAGGGUUUCCGUUUUCUGAAACCCUUGACUGGGUUCUGGGCCUGUUGGGUUUAUUGGGCCGUUUGGGCUCUGUUAAUUGGCCCCGGGCAAUAAUUGGGUUGUACAGCUGCCCCUCUUUGCUCGUUGUCGUGUAACAAUAACAGAGCAAAGACUAAGAAAGACCAAUUUUUGCCCAGUCUUGCCGAGGAAAAGAUUCUCCGUUGCGGCUUCAAUCUGUUCCGCUGCGUCGCCUGGAAGUAAGAUUCGCCGUUGUGGCUUCGAUCUUUUAAAUUGCAAUGUCGGCUUGAAUCUCAAAAAACGGUGGCCCACUUCAACAAACCUUUUGUCUCCCUUAAUUAUGAACAAUUCUAAGUGUUUGCCAAUUAUUAUUAUGGACUCAUUCUUUAAUGUAAGUUAUAUAUUAGUCUUGAUAUAUAAAGCCUAAAAAAGAUAAAGAACAAAUUUCUUGGAGCUUUCCUCUGGCAAAUAUUUUAAUUAUGAAUGCCAUUCUAUUGUGCUAAUUACAGUUUAAUUUCGGUCCUUAAAAAAAAGGUUUUUUUUUUAAAUUUCAGUCCGGCCUCUUUGUGAAAUUCCUUGGAGCUUUCCUUUGGCAAAUAUUUUCAUAUGAAUGGCAUUAUAGUGCUUUUCUUCUGUUGUGCUAACCACUUGGUUUCUUUGGGUUAUGGGAUUAUAAACAUUUCUAAGUGCUUGCCAAUUAUUAUUAUGAAGUCAUUCUUUAAUAUAAGUUAUAUAUUAGUCUUGAUAUAAGGUUAAGGAGGAGUUACGUGUAGUUCUAGGUAUUAUAUCAAAUUUUCUCAGAAUAUUUUUUAAUGGAGGGCGUUGGAUUGAAGAUGGUGGAAGGAUUUUAAACUCUCUGGCUGAUGGGUUCCAAUGGCAGCCUUAUCCUUUGAAGGAUCAAGUAAACAUAAUAAUCCAUGACAAGCACCAUAAACAGAGGGGAGAUCAUUCUUAAAAAAGGGCAAGUGAAUGUUUUGUUUUACUAUAUAAUUUUGAUCUUUUUCAUUUGAAAGUUGAGAGUAAUAAAGUUAGAAGGCGUUACCAUCAAGGCGACUAAGAAGUAGAUUAAGGUUGUUGUUUUCAAGGUUAUUGGAAAUGAAAUGAGGAGUUUGAAUAGAAGAACACCAAUACUUACAAACACAGUUGAAGCGAGUAAGGGAUUUAACUGGAAGCUUUGACAGAAUUUCAAUAACCAAAGCUUCUGGCAAUUCAAACCUUGGCCUCUGCAUCUUGCUAUUUUGUUGGUGUUAAGAGGCAAUAGCAAGCUGGUUUCAGCUUGCUUGGACAGCAAGUGUCGAGCCUUGCUGAAGAAACAAACUCAAAAAGAAACAGAAAUCAAGCUUGCAAGUGGAAAAACAGAAAAACGAGAGAGAGUUUGAAUGAAAAACAAACUGAAAGUUUUUCAUUAACAUUAAACAAGGCAUUGAGCCAUUACAUAUAUUAGCUAACAUGUAAUACAAACAAGUAAUUGCCUAAUCAACUACCUAACUCCACUAAUCUGUCUUGAAACUUACAAAAAUAGCUUCAUCAUAUUGCUAUGUUGAUUUUCAAUCAAUCAACAUCAAAAUUACAUCAAAACAUUUAUCUACUUAGUUCAACAUGAACUAGAUUACAAAAUAAUUAAAAUUCAACUAAAACACAACAAUUAAUUUGGCAACUUCAAGCUCCAGCUUCUGCACAUCAUGGCUCGACUGCUUGUUGCCAUUUCUUCUUGUAUGGCCACCUUUGCAUAGGAACUAAUCUCAACACUCCUCCUUAGUUGCCAUGUUAGUGACACCUAGUUCCUUCUUCAACUUUAUAAACCUUGACACAUUUAAAGCUUUGGUAAAAAUGUCAGCAAUUUGCUCCUCCGAAUUGCAAUGAACCAGCUCGAUUUCAUGAGCUUGUUCCAUCUCUCUUAUAACAUGUAGUUUGAUGUUAAAGUGCUUCGUUCUGCCAUGAAAGAUGGGAUUCUUUGCAAUUGCAACAGCAGAUUUGUUAUCACAGUAAAUCUCUGUUGCUUCUUCUUGGUUUUGGUUUAAAUCAGCCAAGAUUUUUCUAAGCCAUAUGGCUUGAUUCACAGCAGAUGCAGCAGCAACAUAUUCAACUUCUGCUGUUGAUUGUGCCACCAGACUCUGCUUCUUAGAACUCCAGCAAAACAUGCCUGAGCCAAGGCUAAAUGCAUAUCCAGAUGUGCUUCUCAUGUCAUCACAUGAUCCAGCCCAAUCACUAUCGACAUAGCCUAUUAACUUCAUGUUUUCAGCUCUUUUGAACAUCACACCAUGGUUAAUGGUGCCUUUGAUGUACCUCAGCACUCGUUUAGCUGCUUGAAAAUGCUGAUUGUUGCAGCAAUUCAUGCAUCUGGAUAGCACACUAACUGCAAACAUAAUAUCGGGCCUUGUUGCAGUCAAAUAUAGUAGACUACAAAUGAGACUUUUGUACAUAGUCUCACAAACUGGUUCACCAGUUUCCUGCCUCGAUAGCUUCAUUCCAACAACCAUUGGUGUGCUUGUUGGCUUGCAGUUCUUCAUUGAGAACUUGUUUAAAACUUUCAUAGCGAAGGAACUCUGGCUGAGAAAGAUUCCAGUUCCAUUUUGUUUUACUUCCAUUCCUAGGAAGUAGUUCAUUCUGCCUAAAUCAGACAUCUCGAACAUUUUCAUCAUUUUCUUCUUGAAAUCAUGCAUCAUAUUUUUGUCUCCUCCAGUUACUAACAAAUCAUCAACAUAGAGUGACAAGAUAAGUUGAGUCUCAGCUUAAUUUUUCUUCACAUGCAGUGUUGGUUCACUGGCACUUCUCUCGAAUUCCAAACUGAGCAAGUAGGAAUCAAUUCGAGCAUACCAGGCUCGAGGGGCCUGUUUCAGGCCGUACAAGGCCUUUUUCAAUCUGUAGACCAUGUGUUCUUUGCCAGUGACUACAAACCCUUGAGGUUGCUCAAUGUAAAUCUCUUCUUCUAGGAAGCCAUUGAGGAAUGCAGACUUCACAUCCAGCUGAUGAAUGGUCCACUGAUUUUGAGCAACCAAAGCAACUAUCAUUCUGACCGUGUCAAGUCUGGCUACUGGUGCAAAGGUUUCCAAGUAGUCCAGACCAUACCUUUGGCUAAAACCUUUGACAACAAGCCUGGCCUUCAGUUUGUUCAAACUGCCAUCUGCAUUUUGUUUUGCUCGAUAGACCCAUUUUACUCCAAUGGUCUUCUUUCCAGCUGGUUUAUCAACCAGCUCCCAUGUUUGAUUCUUUUGAAUCAUAUUGAUUUCAUCAAGCAUAGCUUGUUUCCAGCCUUCAUCUGCCUCAGCCUCUUCAAAACUGCUAGGUUCUGCUGUAGCAACCUGUGCCCUUUCAUAAAUCUCAUCUAGGGGCCUUGUGCCUCUCACAGGUACAUCAGCAACAUCCAACUCAGAACCAAGCUGCUCGAGUUCAGUUUGAUUAGGCACCAAGUCUUCUGAAACUGUUUCAGGCUCAUUUUUCUCUCAAUUCCAGCAAGCCUUUUCAUCAAAGAUAACAUCUCUGCUUACCUGAACUUUGCUUGUCAAGGGAUCCAGAAUCCUGUAGCCCUUCUUGACCGAGCUAUAGCCCACUAGGAUGCCAGGUUGGGAUCUCUUUGACAGCUUGUCCCUCUUUGCUGCUGGUAUUUGUGCAUAGCAUAGGCAACCAAACACCUUCAGAUGUGCCAAUGAAGGUUUGAAGCCAAACCAUGCCUCGAAAGGUGUCUUGGAUGCAAGAGCUUUGGUAGGAAGCCUAUUCUGAAGGUAAACAGCAGUGUUUACUGCCUCAGCCCACAUGGUCUUAGGCAGUUUCUUCUCAAACAGUAAGCAUCUUGCCAUAUCCAUUAGGCUUCUGUUCUUCCUUUCAGAUACCCCAUUCUGCUGAGGUGUGUACACAUUUGUUAGCUGGUGUUUAAUGCCAGCAUCAUUGCAAAUGGGUUGGAACUGAGUUGAAUUGUACUCAGUGCCAUUGUCUGACCUUAUCGAUUUCAGCUUGCAGCCUGUUUCUGUCUCUAUAGCAGUUUUAAACUUCACAAACACUUGAGCUACCUCAGACUUGUGUUUCAAGAAGAAAAUCCAGCAAAACCUUGUAAAAUCAUCAAUGAAGAGGAUGAAAUACUUGUUUUUGCUGAGUGAUUCAGUCCUCAUAGGUCCACAUACAUCAGAGUGCACCAGCUGCAAUCUUUCAGUGGCUCUCCAUGCUAAACUUGUAGGAAAUGGCAGUCUUGCCUGUUUUCCCAUCUGGCACACUUCACACACAUCAUCAUGCUCCAUUGAGCUGGUGAAGUUCUUUGCCAAUCCCUCUUUGGCCAAUCGAGCCAUUGAUCUGAAGUUGGCAUACCCGAGCCUUUGGUACCAAAUCUUGGAAUCAUCAACAGAGGCAGUGUAUGCUGACUUUGAGUUAUUUGGCCAAUGGACCUCAAAGCAUUUAUCAGUCAUUGUGACUGUCAUAAGGCUUGAUCCACUUAGAUCAGCAAUGUGGCACUGUUUGUCCUUGAACACAACAGAAUAACCUUUCUCAAGCAAUUGAGCUAUGCUGAGAAGGUUUCUGUCAAUUUCAGGUACCAGCAAGACAUUUGAGAUAACUUUGUUUCCUGUAGGAGUACAUAUCAGCACCUCUCCUCUUCCUUCAGCCCUUAUGAACUGACCAUUUCCAACCUUGACCUUGGUUUUGCAACUUCUAUCCAAGGUUUUAAAUAAGGAGGUAUCUGGUGACAUGUGGUUAGUACAACCACUGUCCAAUAACCAGCCUUUUGAACUUUUCUUUUCAGCAGCUAAGCAAGAAACAGCAAAGACCUGCUCUUCUUGAUCACUACUGUCCUCAGCCACUCGAGCUUCAACCUUUGGCUGCUGAAAUUGAUUCUGCCUUGGCUUAUUCCUGUUUUUACAGACCCUUUCAACAUGGCCCUUCUUCUUGCAGUGUUGGCACACAGCAUCUGGCCUAAACCAGCAUCUAUCUUCUGGAUGUCUUGACCUCUUGCAAUAUCUGCAGGGCUGGUCAUUGCUCCUUGCAGCAUCAGGCUUAGGCCUACUUUUCCAAGGCUUUUUGCCUCUUUGAGCAUUUACGCUUGAGGCUUCUCUGGCUUUGGCUUGAAAUGCACCUUCUUGGUGAUCUUCAGCUCUGCUAGCUCUCCUUUGUUCCUGAGCAUAAAAGGUGUUAAUUAGCUCAGUCAAAGAGAUGCUAGCAAGAUCUCUUGAGUCCUCUAAGGAGGAUAUCUUUGCCUCAUAUCUCUCAGGCAAAGUGGAGAGGACUUUCUCCACAAUUCUUGCCUCAUCAAAGUGCUCACCAAGGAGCCUUAUGCUGUUAACCACUGCCAUGAUUCUAUCUGCAUACUGCUUCACUAUUUCUUCUUCCUUCAUCUUCAGAUUCUCGAAAUCCCUUCUCAAAUUCAAUAGCUGCUGUUGCCUUGUCCUCUCAGUGCCUUGAAACUCCUCCUUAAGCUUGUCCCAGGCCUGUUUUGGAGUCUCACAGGCCAUAAUUCUGGUGAAGAUGACAUCUGACACACAGUUCUGGAUGCAAGACAUGGCUUUGUGCCUCUUGGUCCUCUCAUCAGCAUGUUGUCUGAUCUGAGCUACUGUGGGAUUAGCCCUCAGUGGUGCUGGCUCAGCAUCUGUGUUGACAACUUCCCACAGAUCAAAAGCCUGCAGGUAAGUCUUCAUCUUUACCAGCCAUAUAUGAAAGCCUUCUCCAUUAAAGACUGGUGGGGCUGCUGGUGAAAAUCCUGAAGAAGCCAUCAGGUUCCUUGACUUUAAGUAACAGGUCCACUAAGACAAGAGCUCUAGAUACCAAUUUGUUGGUGUUAAGAGGCAACAGCAAGCUGGUUUUAGCUUGCUUGGACAGCAAGUGUCGAGCCUUGCUGAAGAAACAAACUCGAAAAGAAACAGAAAUCAAGCUUGCAAGUGGAAAAACAGAAAAAGGAGAGAGUUUGAAUGAAAAACAAACUGAAAGUUUUUCAUUAACAUUAAACAAGGCAUUGAGCCAUUACAUAUACUAGCUAACAUGUAAUACAAACAAGUAAUUACCUAAUCAACUACCUAACUCCACUAAUCUGUCUUGAAACUUACAAAAAUAGCUUCAUCAUAUUGCUAUGCUGAUUUUCAAUCAAUCAACACAAAAGUACAUCAAAACAUUUAUCUACUUAGUUCAACAUGAACUAGAUUACAAAAUAAUUAAAAUUCAACUAAAACACAACAAGUAAUUUGGCAACUUCAAGCUCCAGCUUCUGCACAUCAUGGCUCGACUGCUUGCUGCCAUUUCUUCUUGCAUGGCCACCUUUGCAUGGGAACUAAUCUCAACAUAUUUUGAUUUUCUUUGUAAUUGACUAAGAGGAAUAAAUAAGCAAGCAAAAGGGGAGUUGGUAGGUGUCAUCUAUGGUCGAAACCUUAACCAUGAAGCAAACAUAAAAGGUAAGCAUUUGAUACAUUAUAAUAAUUAUAUGCAAUUUAGGAAAUUUCCUUAUUUGCUCAUUUGUAUCCAUGUGAAGAAUGAUUAAGAUUGAAUAUAAUCUAAUAUAUACCUUUUGAAUUUUAUCCCCAAUUUUUAAAAGAAUAAAUUUAAAGAAUACAAUACGCUCAACAUUUAUGUACUUUUUGUAUAUUUAAAAUUUAAUCCCUAAUUUUUUAUUUUUAAAAAUUUAGUCUCUUUAUUUUUAAAUUUUAGAAAUUUAGGAUCGUUAAAAUUAUUUGACAUAAUUGUUGAAAAUACCUUCCAUGUUUAUGAGUUUUUGUGUUUGAGCCAUUAACCUUCUUUUUUUAUUGACACCCUCAACAUUACAAUUUGUUUAGAAAUCAACCUAAUUUUCACGGGAUACAAGAGUUGAUCGUCAGUCAAACAAAAGGUUAACGAAGUAGCCUAUGUGGCGUGUCAUAUAUGCACGAGAUCAUAGAUGAUGGCAUCUAUAAAAACAAAAUUGUUUAAAAAAAAUUUUUUAUUUUGUUUCAAUAUUCUUUAUUCUUCUCCUCUUUCUCUCUUCCCCUCUAGCUCCUGUCAUCGUCGUGUCCAAACCCUUCCACCGUUGCCUUCCCUCUCACUCCUAACCGUUGUUCUCACCAAAAAUGUUAGAAGAAAUGUUAGAAGAGAUACUAAUAUAUAUAGAAUUUAUCUGAAUUCAUCCCUCAAAGUCAGAAAAAAAAAUACAUCUUCAAUCACCAGCAAUAUCAUACAAUCAUUAAAAUCCAAAACACCAACUAAAAAAAAAACUAGCUUUCAUCCUAUUGACAAAUUUUGAAGAACAUGUAGAAAACUCAAAAUAAACCUUACCAUUAACAAUCCACAAAGAUCAUAAACAAAGCAACACAACAAAGACAUUAAACUGGGGAUAAAAAAAAAAAAAAGGUACUGACUUUAUCCAUGGAAAAAAAGGGCCAACCCAUUUGAGAAAAACAUCAACCAAUAAUCCUAGAAAGGUAAGUAAAAUUCCCAACUUGAUUCAGUACCAAAUAGACCUUCUCGAUUGAGAACAAAAACCUGGCUCCUUUAGCAAAGAAUUAUUCUCUUCCGCUUCACAUUAUUCUAAUAAUCUCUGUCUCAAACUUACCCUUUUCUCAUUAACAUCAUCAUCACCUUCAACUCAUAAUUUUAGCUCCGGCAUCACUUCUCCUCCCUCAUCAUCAUUUUUAUCAUCAUUGAAAGUCAUUGAAUUUUUAGAACAAGAACCCAAAUUUCACCUGAGAAAAUUAGAGAAGGUGAAGCAAUAAAUGGAUAGAUGAAUUGAAAAACAAAGAAGGAUAUCAAAUAUACCGAAAGAAACCAAACCUAAACCAAACAAAGCGAGUUUGAUUUUUCUAGUUUUUUUAAAUUUAAAAGAAAACCAAAACCCUAAAAUGGGUUACAACAGUGAGUCUCUUUUUGCUUUUUCUUUAUUCUUUUUGGUUGUAUAGAAUUUUGGGUGUUUGACGAAAUUGUCUUUUGUAAGGCUAGCAGAGAUGAACUAGACGUUGAUGAUGAUGAUGAGGAGGAGGAUGGAGAUGGAGAAGAUUUUGGGACAUUUAUGGUAAGAUCGAGGUGAGGUGUGAGAGGGAAGGCGACAGUGGUGGGGGUUGUCUAGCCACAUAGGCUACUUUGUUGACAUGUGGUUUGAUUGACUGUCAACUCAUGUUUCUCACUAAAAUUUGGUUAAUUUCUAAAAAAAUCGUAACGUUGAUAAUGUCAAUUCAAAAAAAAAAGAAGGUUAAAAGCCCAAACCCAAAAACCUAUAAAUGUUGAGGGUAUUUUCGACAAUUAUGCCAAAUUCUUUUGUUAAAUUUGUCGGUUUGAUAUUCUAAAUUUCUUUUUUUUUUUAAAAAACCAUACUCCAUAAUCAUAUUACCGAAAAUGGCAUUAUAAUGGACUUGAAGCUAACAAAAAAAUUUAACGAUGUUAACGCUUCUUUAAACUUACGUCAAAAUUUUAAUUAGAAUAAAAUAUUUAGUCAACGUUGAAGCACCAAACUAUAAAAGAAGUAUAAAGGCUAAAUCUCGAAUUUUAACAUAGUAUAGAGACCAAAUUUGAAAUUUAACUAUUUUUAUCCAUGUGAGCAUUUGAUAGGUUAUAAUAAUUAUAUGCAAUUUAGGAAAAUUUCCUUAUUUGCAUUUGUAUCCAUGUGAGGAAGGAUUAAGAUCAAAUAUAAUAUAAUACAUACUUUUUGAAUUUAAUCCCUGAUUUUUAAAAGAUUAAAUUUAAAGGAUAUCACAUUUAUGUACUUUUGUAUAUUUGAAAUUUAAUACUUAAUUUUUAUUUUUAAGAAUUCAAUCUCUCUAUUUUUUUAAAAUUAUAAAUUUUGGUAUGGUUAACACCGUUAAAAUUGUUAAAAUUCUUUGGCAUAAUUGUCGAAAAUACUCUCAAUGUUUAUGGGUUUUUGGGUUGAGCUCUUAAAUUAUUUUUUUUUUGGAUUGACACCCUCAAUGUUACGAUUUUUCAUAAAUCAAUCCAAUUUUAACAGGAAACAUGAGUUAACCGUUAGUCAAAUCGCAAGUCAAUGAAGUAGCCUAUGUGGCUUGCCACAUAAGCAUGAGGUCAUAGAUGAAGUCAUUUAUAAAAAUAAAAUUGUUUAACAAAUUUUUUUUCAUUUUGUUUCAAUCUUCUUUUCUCUUCUUCUCUUUCUCUCUUCCCCUCUAGCUGUUGUCGCCGUUGUGUCCAACCCUAUCGUCGCCUUCCCUCUCACUCCUCACCAACCCAACCCCCACCACCUCUCACUUCCCUCUCACUCCUCACCGUUGAUCUCAUUGGCAUCUCUUCUAACAUUUGUGGUGAGAUCGACAGUGAAGAGUGAGAGGGAAGGCGGCGGCGGUGGGGGUUGGACACAACGGCAACAGUAGCUAGAGGGGAAAAUAUAAAGAGGAGAAGAAAUAAAUUGAAACAAAAUGAAAAAAAAUGUUAAACAAUUUUGUUUAUAGAUGACAUCAUCUAUGAACUCGUGCUUAUGGGGCACGCCACAUAGGCUACUUCGUUGAUCUGUGGUUUGACCGACUGUCAACUCACAUUUUCCGUUAAAAUUGGGCUGACUUAUUAAAAAAUCGUAACGUUAAGGGUGUCAAUCCAAAAAAAAAAAAAGGUUAAUGGCUCAAACCCAAAAACUCAAAAAUAUUGAGGUUUUUUCGACAAUUAUGCCAAAUUCUUUGUUAAAUUUGUUGGUUUGAUAUCCUAAAAUUUUUUUUAAAAAAAAAGUACUUACUCCAUAAUCAUGUCACAGAAAAUGGCAUUAUAAUGGACUUGAAGCUAAUAAGAAAAUAUUAAAGAUGUUAACACUUAUUUAAAUUUACGUAAAAAAUUAAUUAGAAUAAAAUAUUUAGACUAAAUAAUGACAUUAUAAACAUUGAAGCACCAAAUUAUAAAAAAGUAUAAAGUCCAAAUCUCAAAUUUUAACAUAGUACAAAGACCAAAACUGAAAUUUAAAUAAUCAUACAAUUACUUUCUUUUUUGUUGCAUAUCAUUUCCAAAUACAUAAAACGAUCCAUAUUCAACUAUAACAUAUUGUACACCAAAAAAUAAUUUUGAAAUCAAACAAUUGAAGAAAAAGAGUUAGCUGGAUGCUACAGAACAGUAGUCAAUGUCUGUCAGUUUGACUUUGGCUUGCGCUGCAUGAUUCUAGCUUGUUAUGAAUGCUUAAACUAUGGGUCACUUUCAUAAGACUUUUUCUCUAAUUCCAUGUCCAUUGUAAUUGCUGAAAUUCAUCUUCAUUUUUAGCUACUUGUUAGUGUAUAAAUUGUAGAAAAAUGUCUUCGUUUAAGUUCGAAUUGUUGUAAACUGUCCCUUAAAAAUCUUUAAUACGCAUUGAAGAAAUGAAAACUCGAAUGAAAUACAUGCAUGUUAUCGUGUUUGUUGUGAGUAUGAUCAUUGCAGGGUUCAAUGGAGUCGAUGCAAUGAGUAAAUAUUACAGUCACUGCGGGAAACAUGACAUCGAAAAGGAGGCUCAAAAUCUGUUCCCAUGUUAUGAGAUUAGUUAACGGGAAACAUGAGUUAACCGUUAGUCAAAUCGCAAGUUUCUUAUUUAAAUAAGAAACAUGUCCUAAACAUGGUAUAUCACCACUCAAUAAGAAACCGAUUGGAAGUAUGACAGAGGAUGUUGUGCAAAGUCGGAACAUGUCCUAAGCUGUAUGUUGUACAAACUCUGAACCUGUCAAUACCAAGUCCGGCCAUAGUGUGGGCAAUUGGUUCCAAAGAGCUAUAUCACCACUCAACAAUUGCUUUUAAAUAAGAAACAAAAAAAUUGAUUAGAUUACAGAUAAAUUACUUAAUAGUUUCAAGUGAAGAAUGUAUAUGCGUACUUGGAGUCGUGGCCGGGUUAGAAUAGGUUGUGGAUGGGUGCAAGGCUUCCUUGCAUUGUAUGGGGGCACCGGCAUGUCAUGAGCGUCUUGCGCCCAAAUUCCAUGUAUUUUGAAUUCAGUUGGGAUUGGGAGUUUACAGUUGAAAGUAGAGCUGCAAACAGAGGAGGCCACUGCAGUGCCAACUUAUAGAAGUCUACCACUGGAAUUACUGGCGGCUGGGGUACUGCAAAUGCUACCCAUAAUGAAAAAUGAUACAAUGCAUUUUUACAAAUUUACAAAUCAAAAGAGAACUACUCCAUAUAUAGAUCUUACAUGCAUAGAUGGUCGGGCUGAGAUUGGAUGAUUGUGCUUUGCAAGCAGCUGGUUUAUGAUCUCCUUUAUAAGCUUGGCACACAUAUUUCACGAAAUUUUCAAAGUCCUGCAACCAUGAAAUAAAUGUUGAAGUUACUUGUCACAAAAUGUUACUUCACAGUCACACCAAGAGGGAGAAAUAAACAAACUCACUUGUCUGAGUGGCUGAUUAUUCACCACCACCCAUGGCACAUAUUCUUGAGGUGGCUUCAGAUGUGCAGUCUCGUUAGCAUAUUGCAGCAGAAGCUGCAUUUUAUUAACUUGGAAAUUCAAUGUUAGAAAAAGCUAAGGAGAAGUGUUAAUUAAAUACUAAUACAUGCAGCCAACCUUAUAUCCAAAUCCAGUAGUAUAGCAUUGGUUGAUUAUCACCUCAUUCAAUCUCAGCUUUUCACUGCAAUUUUUCCACAGUGCUUCAACGGGCCACCCCUUUAAGCUUUGUUGCUCUGUGCAGCCAAUGAAUUCCAAGUGUUCUUUCUGCUACAAAGUAGAGUAAGUAAACACGAGUUGGAGACGAGUACAAAUACUUAUGGCUAAUAGAAGUUACCACAUCAGGCCAGAAAUGGAUGACACAACUAUGUAUAGUGUUUAAGUGGCAUUCUUCUUCUCCAUGCUGGACAUUGUUGCAUAAACUAUAAUUAGUUACAGUAGAAGAAAGAAAUUGAACUUCAUUAGUUAAUAAUGAAAAUAUAUUAAAAUGAAGAAUGGAGUUGUAAACCUGGCAAUGGAUUUCAGCAUUGCUCCAAGGGACCAAUCUUAGAUUGAUAAUGGUAUGGAGGUCAGUGUGGAAGACCUUGACGAGGUCGUUGGAGAUAAAGGAGGCACAACGUGGACAUAAACUUGUUUCAUAGUACAGUGACACAGUAACCCUGUCAUUAACAUUAUCUAAAGAGGAAUGGGAGGGAGAAAUAAGCCAAAAUAUUGCAAGAGCAGACAGAAUAUAGAAGAUCAGUGGUUGAAGAUAAGCCAUUGUUUUAGUGGUAGCUUCUGCACAAUGCUGAACCUCCAUUAUGCAAUGUUUUUUAUAGUUGAGAAAGGGGAUGAUGGCUAUUGUUUUCUAUCACUUUCAGAAACCAUGUGACGUUAUCACUUUCAGAAACCACUUUAAAAAAUUAUUUACAUGAAGAUUGUUUAUUUAUGUAUAUGGUUCUUGCUUUUUCUAAUUUUACUUUGGAAAUUACAAAAAUAAUCAACAUUGUAGUUAUAUCUAAUACUAGUUUCAAUCACAUGUAAUAAGUUCCACGUUAAUAAAAUAAGUCCUUAAUUUUUCUUAACAUGGCUUUCGAUGUGUCUGUUUCAAUAUGUAUAAAUAUGGGGAAUCAACUUCACAAGUAAUUGCUUAUAAUGGUUUAUUGCUUAUAACAAUUGAUAUAUAUAUGUAUAUAUAUGAACUUAACCAAACAUCCUCAAAGUUGUUGGAAUUUUGGUUUCUUUAAAAUUUUAGUAGGGUUUAAAACUUGAUUAAGAGUAUGGUAAUUAAUGGUUAGAGGAGAAAAUGAAUUGAUUUGUUUUUAUAAGUACUGUUAGUCUUUCACAUGAAAUAGGGUAAGAAUCUCAAUUUAACAAAAAUGGAUUUGCUUUUAUCAAAGUCUCAAGAUUAUAAGGUAGCAUUGGUUGGCUGGUAUUUUCAUGCGUAAAAAUAUAUUCAUUUUUGUUAAAUUGUGAUUUUUCCUACACUUGUAUGUGAUUCACACUAGCAGGUAAAUUCUUUCGUUUGUUGAGUAAAUUAAAUUAUCAAAGGUGUUCAAAGUCAAAUAUUAACUUAAAUGUUGCAAUAAUUAAUGCAAAAGGGAGAUUAUGAGUGAUUGUUGGAGGUCAUACCAUAGGUAGAAAGGGAGGAAACAGUGGGACAACCAACAAAGCCAAGACUUGAUCCAUUUAUACUCAGCCAUUAAGAUGUAAUGUAGUAGUUUAUACUUCUGAUUUUGGUUUCUCAAGAAUUAGAUUUAUCCAUAAUCGAAUUGGAUUGAGAUUAUCUCAAGUUUUCCUAACGUAACCAAUGCCACAUUUAUUAAAAGUAUAUAAUCAUGUUUUAAAGUAGAAAAAAAUGAUUUUAUUCUUUGCAUCUUUGUUUUGAUUUGUAAGAAACUUGCAAGUAUAACUAUGCCAUUUUGGAAGGACAAUCAGAGUGCUUAUGGAGCAAAUCUUAACAAUAAAGCAAAGAAGCAUUUAAUACAUUAAUUUUAUUCUUGUAGUGACAGCGAUGUUUAAUUUUUAAGAGUUAUUAAAACUCUUUAUUUGCAACCCAAUGGUUAUCUGAAAUCGAAUUAAAUUUCUUUUUAUUUAAUAUACAAUUAAUUUUAAUUUUUUAUUAUAAAAAUAAAUAUUAUUUGUUUAAAAUAGUAUAAAUAACUUAAAAAUUCUUGUAAAAUCAUUAUUAUUAUUUUUUUGCAAAUAUUUAUUAAAAGGGCUUUCAAAUUUGUCAAAUAAUAUUAAAAAAAAGCAUAAAACAAAGUCAAUUUUGUUAAAAUAAGUCUAAAAAUCUAAAAUAAAACAUUAUUAUGAAAAAAUUAACAACUCUUCAUAAAUUCUAUUUAUGCCCCCAAAAAUGAUACAAAUUUGAUUUAUUCUCUAAAAAUUUAUAUAGAUAUAAGUUAUUAAAAUUGUGAAAUUGCAUCUUUACUAUCAUAAAAAUAUAUAAUUUUAUCCCCAAAAUAAAACUUUCCUAGCUUCACCCCUGAUCGACAAUGCUAAUAUAAGUUUGUUACAAAAGAUUGGCAUUAUAGUGGAAUUGGAGCUAACAAAAAAAAAAAUAACAAUGUUAAUGUUUCUUUAAAUUUAGGUCAGAAUUUUUAUUAGAAUAAAAUAUUAAGGGUAAAUUACACAUAAAAGUCCUAUUUUUUUAAAAUUUACCGAAAUGGGCCCGGUAUUUUAUUAUUUACCGGAAUGGGCCAUUUUCCCCGAAAUCGCCUCCACGUCAGCGCGAUGUCAGGGGAUGUGUCAGCAAAUCGCGUCCACAUCAGCGCGAUUACUUACGUGGCAACAAAUCGCGUCCACGUAAGCGCGAUUUGCUGACGUGGAAGCAAUAAUUCAUGAACAGUUUAUGUUUUUUAGCUUGGAAAACUUUGAAAGGCCAUAACUUUUGACUCGGUUAUCCGAUUGAGACGAUUCAUUAAAAUACAUUAACAUUACCUAAAGAGGAAUGGGAGGGAGAAAUAAGCCAAAAUAUUGCAAGAGCAGACAGAAUAUAGAAGAUCAGUGGUUGAAGAUAAGCCAUUGUUUUAGUGGUAGCUUCUGCACAAUGCUGAACCUCCAUUAUGCAAUGUUUUUUAUAGUUGAGAAAGGGGAUGAUGGCUAUUGUUUUCUAUCACUUUCAGAAACCAUGUGACGUUAUCACUUUCAGAAACCACUUUAAAAAAUUAUUUACAUGAAGAUUGUUUAUUUAUGUAUAUGGUUCUUGCUUUUUCUAAUUUUACUUUGGAAAUUACAAAAAUAAUCAACAUUGUAGUUAUAUCUAAUACUAGUUUCAAUCACAUGUAAUAAGUUCCACGUUAAUAAAAUAAGUCCUUAAUUUUUCUUAACAUGGCUUUCGAUGUGUCUGUUUCAAUCUUUAUAAAUAUGGCGAAUCAACUUCACAAGUAAUUACUUAUAACAAUUGAUAUAUAUGUUUAUAUAUGAACUUAACCAAACAUCGUCAAAGUUGUUGGAAUUUUGGUUUCUUUAAAAUUUUAGUAGGGUUUAAAUCUUGAUUAAGAGUAUGGUAAUUAAUGGUUAGAGGAGAAAAUGAAAUGAUUUGUUUUUAUAAGUACUGUUAGUCUUUCACAUGAAAUAGUGUAAGAAUCUCAAUUUAACAAAAAUGGAUUUGCUUUUAUCAAAGUCUCAAGAUUAUAAGGUAGCAUUGGUUGGCUGGUAUUUUCAUGCGUAAAAAUAUAUUCAUUUUUGUUAAAUUGUGAUUUUUCCUACACUUUUAUGUGACUCACGCUAGCAGGUAAAUUCUUUCGUUUGUUGAGUAAAUUAAAUUAUCAAAGGUGUUCAAAGUCAAAUAUUAACUUAGAUGUUGCAAUAAUCAAUGCAAAACAGAGAUUAUGAGUGAUUGUCGGAGAUCAUACCAUAGGUAGAAAGGGAGGAAACAGUGGGACAACCAACAAAGCCAAGACUUGAUCCAUUUAUCAAAUCCUUGCUAUCUCAACUCAGCCAUUAAGAUGUCAUGUAGUAGUUUAUACUUCUGAGUUUGGUUUCUCAAGAAUUAAAUUUAUUAUCAAAAUUAGAUUUAUCCAUAAUCGAAUUGGAUUGAGAUUAUCUAACGUAACCAAUGCCACAUUUAUUAAAAGUAUAUAAUCAUGUUUUAAAGUAGAAAAAAAUGAUUUUACAAAACACACAAGUUUUUAUAAGAGAAGAUUAGAAAGGAACAUAGCCUUUUGAAGUUGUAAUUUGUGAUGGGAAAGAAACGAUAAAACUUUGAUUUAAUUCUCUAAAAAUUAUAAAGAUAUAAGUUCCUGAAAUAGUAAAAUUGCAUUUUAACUAUCGUAAAAUUAUACAAUUUAAUCUCUCCAAAAUGAAAUUUUCCUAACUUCAUCCCUAAUUGACAAUACUAAUUUAAAUUUACUCCUAAGUCGUAUUUUAGAUCCGUCACUAUGCACACAAAAUUUUCAUCACCCAAGCUUCGGGUAGUUGAAAGCUCCUCCUUUGCAUCUUUGUUUUGAUUUGUAAGACACUUGCAAGUAUAACUAUGCCAUUUUGGAAGGACAAAACCUUAACAAUAAAGCAAAGAAGCAUUUAAUACAUUAAUUUUAUUCUUUUGGUUACAGCAAUGUUUAAUUUUUAAGAGUUAUUAAAAGUCUUUAUUUGCAACCCAAUGGUUAUCUGAAAUCGAAUUAAAUUUCUUUUUAUUUCAUAUAUAAUUAAUUUUAAUUUUUUAUUAUAGAAAUAAAUAUUAUUUGUUUAAAAUGGUAUAAAUAACGUAAAAAUUCUUGUAAAAUCAUUAAUUUUUUUGCAAAUAUUUAUUAAAAGGGCUUUCAAAUUUGUCAAAUAAUAUUAAAAAAAAGCAUAAAACAAAGUCAAUUUUGUUAAAAUAAGUCUAAAAAAUAUAAAAUAAAAAAUUAAUAUGAAAAAAUUAACAACUCUUCAUAAAUUCUAUUUAUGCUUAAAUAAGUCUAUUAGAAAGGGCAUGCCGUUUUAGCAAUGAAAAUAUAUUUUUAAAUAAUUUCAGAGUUUUUCUUCAAUUAUCUUAAAUUUUUACCCAUAUAUCAUAGGGGUUAUUAAGCUUUAUUGAAAACAAAUAUUUAGAUGGAUCUUAUAAACAUCCAUCUGUGACACUCAUAUACUUGUAUGGAUAUAAUUUUUUUUUUAAAUAUUCAUAUCAAUUAUUAAUUAUUUUUUAUAUCCUAUAAUUACUUCCUAAUUCAAUCUUAAUAUUCAAAGCAAUGGGUAUGAGGAGAAGCUUCGAGUUGAAAUUAAUACAAAAAAAGUAAAAGCAUAUACAGAAAAAAAAAUUCUAUUUAUGAAAAAUUUAACAUGUGGGUUGACUCAAUAGCUUUCAAAAAGCCAAACAAAAUUAAACUCUUGGUGGGAAAAAAGGGGGAAAAUAGAAAAUUGGAAGAAUAAAACCCCAAACUUUUAAAAGUAAAUACUUUUUUGGGAGGGAAAAGAUUUGAUUUUUUUUUUGUUCAAUUGCUAGAAUCUGGUUAGUGAGUUUCCCUUUUCUCUGUUUCCAAACUUUCAAUUAUUUAUCUAUUUAUGUAAGAAGGUUGCAGUUUAUAAGAAGUUAAUCCCAAAGCUUUGAUGGACAAAAGAAAACAUGUGUGAAACUAUCAAAGAUUCCAUUGACAGUAAACAAAAAUGGAUUUGCUUUCACGUAUCAACUUACCUAGCUACCAUAAUAUUAAUGCAAAUUCCUUUCUCAAACAAUGCUUUGAGUCUCAAAAUUAUAAUGUAGAAUUGGUUAGCUGGUAUCUUCAUGCAUCAAGAUAUCCUUAUUGGCAGGUUUAUCCAUGUGAAGAAGGAUUACGAUAAAAUAUUCUUAUUUGCAGGGCUAACCACUACCAAAUUUACUGGCAAAAAUAAAGUAGAUUAGUUUUUCAAGAAAAUCGGUCAAUUUUAAUUUUUAUGCAAAUCAUUGGACACCAUCAAUAAAAAUUAAUAAUUAUUUAAAGAGAUAUUGUCAUAUUUAUGAAAAGGGUUUUCAAAUUUAUCAAAUAAUAUUAAAAAAAAUGCACAAAACAAAGUUAAUUUUGUCAAAAUAAGUCUAAAAAUUCAAAACCAAAAAUUAAUAUGAAAAAAUCGAGAACCGAACUAUGAUGGACAGUUUAAAAACUCUAAAACCCCCGACUGUAUAGUAAUACUCUAUUUAUUUAUAGAGAGAAGAAGACGCACCUACGUAUUACUAAAAUAUUUGAAUUCAACAUUAUAAUCAUGUCACAAAAAAUAAAAUUAUAAUGGACUUGAAUUUAACAAAAAAUUUAACGAAGCUAACGCUCCUAUAAAUUUAUGUCAGAAUUUUAAUUAGAAUAAAAUAUUUAAACUAACUAAUGACAUUAUAAACGUUGAAGCACCAAACUAUAUAAAAAAGAUCAAAUAUAAAGUUUAAAUCUCAAAUUUUAACAUAGUAUAGAGACUAAAAUUGAAAUUUAUCUAUUAAUGUAUAAAGGUUGCACUUUACAAGCACUUAAGUGUUUGAUGAAAAGGAUAUAAAUUAAUUAUAUAAUAUAAACUACCAUGCCACAAUAAUUAUAUAAUAUACAAAUUCAUUAUACCCAUGCAGACUUCAUUUAUGCAUACAACGUAAUCUUAAAACUUAAAGUUGAAUAUAAUUAUUGUAACUUAACGUGGAUUGAAUGCAAAACUUAGGGUGGGUUUGGAUGGGCGAUUGGGUGCGGUGCGGUGCGUUUAGCCUACAUUUUGUCUCACGCUACAGUGUUGCUACAGUAUUUAAUCUCACCGCCACCGUUGUUUUUACAUUAACCGCAGGUAAACGCACUGCCCAUCCAAACUCACCCUAAGUAUAUCUUUAUAUUUAUUAGUGUUCAUCUAUUGCUUUCAAUAAACCACAUGUACAUAUUGAUUAUGACAUUCUAAAAUAAACACAACAUUUUAACAUAACUCUUAUAAUACAUUCUUUCAACUCUAACAUAUCAUAUCAUAUCAUUACAUUAAUUACACAUAAAAUAUUCUUUUACACAUAAUCUGCCAAAAUAUUAUUUGUUGUUAUCAUCAUACCGUAAAAUGAACCGGACUACAAAUUCAAUGCAUUUAGGGAAUAUUAUUUGAGAAAUGUCUUAGUUAUGCUGAAUAUUGCAUUCAAGAAAUGGAAACUCAAGUGAAGUAGAUGUGGGUUAUGGUGUUUAUUGUGAGUAUUAAGCAUUGCAGGGUUCUAUGGAACUCAAUAGCUUUCAAAAAGUCGAACAAAAUUAAAUUGUUAGUGGGGAUUGAAACUCAAUCGAUAAAAAAAGAAAAAGAAGAGAAAAUUGAAAAUUGAAAAUUGAAAAUUGGAAGAAUAAACAAUUAAUGUAAAUAGAAAUCUGAUUGGUGAGUUUUCAUUUUUGUUUUAUGAAAUUUCUCUUUUCUUUGUUUCCAAUCUUUCAAUUGUUUAUCUAUUUAUGUAUGAAGGUUGCAGUUUAUAAGAUCUCAAAUGUUUGAUAAAAAGAAUUUAAAUUAAUCCCAAAGCUUUAAUGUGCAAAAGAAAACAUGCCAAAAUUGUCAAAGAUUCCAUUGACAACAAACAAAAAUGGAUUUGCUUUCACAUAUCAACUUACCCACCAUAAUAUUAAUGCAAAUUCCUUUAUCAAAACAAUGCUUUGAGUCUCCAAAUUAUAAUGUAAAAUUGGUUAGCUGGUGUUUUCAAGCAUCAAAAUAUAUCUAUUUUUGUUGUGAUUCACACCAGCUGACAGAAAGAUUAGCUUAGCAAGAUUCCUUGCUUUGUUGAGUAAAUUGAAAUUAUUGAAGGUGUUCAAGGUCAAAUAUUAACCUAAAUGUUACAAUAUUUAACGCAAAAGGAAUACCAUAAGUGAUUGUUGCAUAUCAUACCAUAGAUAAAAAGGAAUAAAACGGUGGGACAACCAACAAAGUCAAGACUUGAUUCAUUUAUCAAAUCCUUGCUAUCUCAGCUCAGCCAUCAAAAUGUAACGUAGUAGUUUAUACUUGUGAGUUUGGUUUCUCAAGAAUUGAAUUUAUUAUCAAAAUUCAACAUUUCCAAUAAUUAUCAAAAUACCGGUGAGCUCCAGUUUCCGAGCGUUGCUGCGCUAUAAUAGAGAAAAAGCUUAGCAAUCCAGACUGUCUCUGUGCUAUUUUGCAAACUCGUAUGCUGGAGUGAGAAAUGAAAUCCAAGUGUAGCCAGUUUUCUCAAUUCAUAUUUGAUCUUUAAGAUAUCAUCCCUAUUAUUUAGGGAUGGCAAAACUCAAACCAUCAUUCAGAAUAGAGAGGAUUUUCUUUUGAAAGUGAAUGCAGAUUGAAUUUUAUAGUAGUUAAAGCAAUUAACACACAAGCUUGUAACACAAGGUAACUUGAAAAAAGUACCAUAAUUUCACUCACUCGAACGAAAUGGGAUCAUGGCAACAUGGAUUUGUGGCUGAUUCGAUGCUCGUGUUGUGUUGUGGUGUUCAUCGGAUCUUCAUCUGUUUAAGAAUCUUAACCAUCAGGUGAGACCUGUUUUGGAUUAAGUUAUAAAAAUUAUGCCACUUACAGCAAUUAUUUUAAUUAGUUAAUGACAACCUUAAACAUCAAAUCCUCUUCGACUUGCAAUUUUUUUCCGCAGAAAACAAUAUCAACAUCUAAGCAAUCUUAUAGAUAUCUAACCAACAAAAACCAAAUAUAAACUGAACAAUUCUCCAAAUACAGAAACCAGGAAAUAGUUAACAUCUCAAACAUAUAACCCAAACAAUAACAGCAAUAUUAAGAAGCUCACAACAAAAAAUUCCUAUUACAUCUUACACAUAUAUGUUCUAGCUCCGCAUCCCUCUUCAUAUUCAGUAUCCAUUUCAUGCCUUCUUCAUAUUUAGUAUUCAUUUGAUGCAUCUCUCGCUGGUUGACGUAUUACAUGUUUCUCAAUAUUCUCUUGUAUUCCAUUGAUACGAACCAGGCUCUCUAAAUAUGCAUGAAGGGAGAUGGUGAACCGAAAAUGAUCUAGAUAAGUAUUAAUCUGAAGCUCCUUAAGCUCUUGGGUGGAGGCGUCAAAUAGGAGUACUUCAUCAUUUGUGUCUCUAAGAAACAAGUCACCAUUUUUCCCAAAUCCCAAUGGGUGUACAACUCCAGAAAUGGAUUUAAUAUUGAAUUGUUUAGUCCACACUCCUUCACUUGUAACCCAUAAAUCAAAAGACGUGUCAAUUCCUUCCGUUGGGUAAACAAUAGCACCAAGUGAUCCAUUAAACACCAAUAGAUUAACAUAGUAUUCUGGGAAAGACCCAACGAAUUCUGGGAUAGGUAAAAUUGAGAACUUCUCAUUCCCCAUGUCAAAUGAAAGAAUUAGUCCUCUAAAAUCAAGAUAUGCCCGUCUCUGUUUUCAUAUAGCAAAUUCCGUCUACAUAAUUAUUUCCCAAAGUUGUUCCAGUUGGUUUAUAAUCAGGACAUGGAAUUUCCUUCCAGGAAUUACUUCUAAGAGAAUACAACUCAACUUGGUACAUAAAAUGAGAAUGUGGAUAUUGUUCUUCACUAUUAACAAAAGUAAGAGUAACAAAUCGUAUGACUUUGUAGUCAUCAGUUUUAGAAUCAAACCCAAAAGAAGCGUGGUUAAAUUCAACGUGAUCUAAAGUAAGGUAGGUUUCUUCGAAUGGGGAAAAAUAUGGAGGGCGUUGGAUUGAAGAUGGUGGAAGGAUUUUAAACUCUCUGGUUGAUGGGUUCCAAAUGGCAGCCUUAU
rnacentral:lncRNA from 1 species